rnacentral:lncRNA from 1 species
GGCGGAUGGGUGGGACAGGCGGUCGGUGUAGGGGCCUCGGCCUUUGCGGAUGCUCAAUGGCCGGACCGGGCCUGCUGGGGCCUUUGAUGAACUCGCGAUCGCGAGAUGCGUUGAGGGGUUCGGUGAUUUGGGAUUAACAUCUGGGAAAUUUGUGGGAUCAUCAAAAGGGUUACUGUACUGUAAUCUUGUACAUAUGCUUCCUGUAGAUAUCGAAUGGAACUAGGGAAAAAGAAAAAAAAAAUCUUUCGGCUACUUUCUCUCUGGAACUUUCGAUCGAUUAGUCAGAGCAAACGCUGUCGAGUUUGAGCGAUUAGAGCUCUCUGCCAAAGUGCCAAGUGUCCAGCGUCGAGCAACCAUGUCAAAACGAAGGGCGGGAGCGGAGUUCGUGUCGCUCCGGCCCGGGCAUCACAAAUUCACAAGGAUUUUGUAUAUAACAACUUUUUAAGUUCGUCGAUCAAUCACGUAGCCGGCAUCCUGAUGGAUCGGCACAGCAACGCGUUGAGUUGAGCCCGGCGCCGGCCGAACAGACUGCUACGAGCCCAUGACCAGGCAGCACUUCGGCGAACGCCGAUCUCGGCUUCAAACUCUGAAGUUCAGGCGGGUUCCGUUCCUACCGCAGAUAAUUUCAGGCAAGCAAGCGGCUCGAUGGACCGAUGGCCGGGCAGGGGACGGGACGUACGCGAUUACCCACACCGCACGAGGACGUCGCAGAGGUGCGCCUCCCGCCGCCCGAACAGGUCGCAGCUGCCCCAACCGUUGGCCGCACGGGUUCAGAGUUCAUCGGAGAAGUCGGCCGCACGGGCACCAACCGUUUUGGCGCAGAUCCUAAGGUCCGGUAAGGCCUGGCAACGCAGCCGCGAAUCCCCUAGUCGAUCACUCGCCGUCCUCUCCUCGAUUCGUCACCACUCACCCCGCGCGCAUCAUUCCUUCGCGAGCCGCGCGGCACCGGAGCUCGACACGGCGACAGGAUCGCACCGGGGAGAGCGAGGCAGCGAGCGCGAGGGACAUGCCGCGACAAGCGACGGAUAUGAUUGACUCGCGUCGGACAACGAUGCGGAGCUGGAGCCUGACGCGGUUGGCUUUUGGCCUGCGCCGGCUUUUUCACGUGGUGUCACGUGACGCUGGGCCACCGCGGUCGCGUCCCGGGACGGGUGGCGCGACGCGACGCGACCGAGUGACGGAAACGAAGCAUGGGCGAGAGAGAGGGCAAACGACGCGACGGGACCCCCACGCCGUGGUCUCCAGGACGCGUGCUCGCGGCCGGUGCAUGCACCGCGCGUGCGCCGUCGCUCCAGCUCCUGCAAUACGUCCGGAGAGCCAAGAGUGGGAGCAAGAUUGCAAGUCUGCAAGAGCAAGUAAGCAACUCUCACUCAGCGGCUGGCAUCAUGCGUGCCGUCAUUGGCGGAGGCCGGUGGCCGUAGCGGCUCUCCUUAUCUCCUACGUUCCUGGGCUGGCAGUGGCAGGAGUCGACGAAACUUGCGUUGGCAACGACUCCAACCGCGGCGUACGUUGAUCCGGCACACCACGUGCCCUCAAUUUAGGCGUCGUGGAGAGGGUUCUAUAGCGUGCCUACCGCCUAGCUCUAGCCGAACCGUAUACGAAUCGUUCCACAAGCUUCCAAUGCUCCACGAAGCAUAUGAUAGGAAAAGAGGGUGCAAGACCUCAGGCCUGAUGUAGUGAUGUUGUGUGGGAUCGAACCUACCUGGAAGCCUGGAUAACCAUGAUUUUUAUACGGUAUCAAAGUUAACAUGAUUCUGAAACUCCCAAUCCAUCCAACUAACGAACGAGUGAGAGAUUUUUAGAAGUAAUCUCUUCUCGUUUAUAAAGCCCAACAGGCUAUAGCCCAUGUGCUAUUUCGAAACUCCUACGCACAGCCAAGAAACACCACGUACCCAGAGAAAUAGGCCCAUAAAAGAGGUGGCACCCGCAGCCCAUUAACCACCACGCAUCGCGCGCGGAUAUGAGAAGCCCAUGCCCAUAUUCACAACAGCAGAAGAACUGAAGAAGUGACGAACAUCCUCCCAAAGAAUACCGACACUCCAACAGCCUCGACAUCAUUAGACCAUUACCUCCAAUCGCAAUAUAGUACGUGGUAGCAGUAGAGUAAAAGAAUACUGUGCUCAGGUUUGCAUCUAACCACCGUGCGAUAAUCGCCUACAAUACCCACGCCAAUCAAACGCUGCGUACAAAGAAUAUCACGCACGCCGCCGGCCGCACCACCAACGCGAGCCGUGCAUCACACAUCCACACAGCUCAGACGUUGUCGGGCAGGUCGAAGUGCUGGACGCCGAGCACCUGCAGCGCGGCGUUCUGGACGAAGAGGACAACGCCGCACUUGGCGGCGCGGAAGCCGUCCCAGAGCGGGAACUGGACGGUCCCGGACACGGACUUCUUCGCGGAGGCGCCCUCCCGCACCGCCGCCACCUUCUCCAGGCGGCGCACCACGUGGUCGUUCAGCAGCGACUUGCCCUUGUUCUCGCCGCGCCCGCAGUCCGUCACCAGCCCGCUCUCGUACAGCGCCACCAGCACGCUCGCGCCGCCGGCGCCCUCCACGCGGCUGCGCAGGGUGCCCGUGAACGACGCCUGCAGCGUCGUCGGGUUCGGCCGCUGGAACGUCGCCUGCACGUUACGUAACGUACGCGGAUCAGAUCAGAUCAGGUCGAGGUUUCAACGGUGCAUCUACAGUGACAUUGACACCGCAUCUACAGAACCCAUAUGUAUCCGGUAGAUAUGAAAUACUGUUCAUUGCAGAUCCGGCAUAAGAACAGUGGCUGAUGAGACGUUCCACAGCAACAGGCAAUCAGAUAUCCUGGUUGUCGCUUCUUAAAUUUGCAGACCGCUUUGAACACUUUCUACAUGGCAACAGGAUCGGAUGUGCAAGGAAGUUGUAAUUACAGUACCUUCAUGGCGGGCGCCGGGUAUCGCGGCGCGUCGCGGACGCCCUGCGCGAGCGCGUCCUGCUCGGUGCCGACGCAGUGCGCACGGCCCUGCACGACGACCUGCGGCGUGAAGAGCGUGUCGAGGCGGAGCGCCUCCACGUAGGCCUUCUGGCGCACGGUCCAAGCGCUGGACGCGAAGGGGUCCUUCCACCCGCUGUGGUCCCAGUAGUCCACGUGGAACGCCAGCACCACCACGGCCGGCCCGCCGCCGCCGCCUUCCUGCUGAGCCGCGGAAUCCUGCGCCAGCCGCGCCGCCACGGCGUCGGCCUCGGGCGACGCCCCGCACCCCUGCGACGCGAACAGCUCCAACAACACCGGCCCCGGGGCUACCUGCUGCUGCUGCUGCUGGUCCUCCUGCUCGUCCGGCGCCGACGCCGUCGCGCCGCCCCUCCGGCCAAAGCACGCCAGCAGCCGCGGCGCCAUCGAUGGUUGUAGGCUAGCUAGUAUCUGCCUUAGCUAGCGAGCUGCCGGCGCCGGCGGUAGUGGUGCAGCUGGCGAGGGAACGUCGUGGCGAAGGGAAUGAGGGGAGAUCAAGUGACGAGCUCGCUCGCGUGGUGGCGUGUAGCGGGCAAGUAGUAGGUGUCCCGGACGGUAUGGUGUGUGGUGGCCUGGUGGGAUAGAUGAUUGGUGGGUGGAACUGAACGUGGCGGUGGCGACGGCAACAGGACACCAGCCUGUCAGCACGCAACCCCUCUUGGUGUUGGAACUUCGCCGGCUGGCCGCCAUGUGUGUGUUCGUGCCCGCCUAACCUCCCAGCUCCAGCCUCUUCUUUACUUUGUUUUCUCGCAUUCUACCUUUUCCGCCGCAGACUUUGCAUUUCUAAAUCUGGUUUCACCGGUUCAGUGCGAUCCGUGAACAGAUUAUUCUGUGGCCAUGUUCCUUUGGGGAAUGGAAGGAGGAAGAGGAGAACCCGCUUUUGCUUUCACGAUCGGCGCGAUGCUUUGCUUGGUCCGGUGUGUUUUGUGGGCGCGGCCGCGGCGGGCACCGUGUCGGCGAGUGGUUGGAUCCGCCGCCGGGGUGGCUGUAAUUUUUUAACAUACAAACAGCAAGACCACGUUUGAGCCGCUGCUGAAUGCUAAUCAAUCAUUGCCACUAGAUUACAGUAGUAGCCAGUCGUGCGUCUAUUACGUGUAUGCUGGUUGGGGUUAGCAGACGAGCCUACAAAGUACAGACAGUGCUGUGGGUGUCGCUGAGGCCUGCUGCUUAUUUUUAAGCACCCGUUACAUCGAUGUUUACAUACUAAUUAGAAGUAUUAAACGUAGACUAUUUACAAAACCCACUACAUAAGCGGAGGCUAAACGGCGAGACGAAUCUAUUAAGCCUAAUUAGUCCAUAAUUUGACAAUGUGUUGCUACAGUAAAUAUUGGCUAAUGAUGGAUUAAUUAGGCUUAAUAGAUUCGUCUCGUCGUUUAGCCUCCACUUAUGUAAUGGGUUUUGUAAAUAGUCUACGUUUAAUACUCCUAAUUAGUAUCUAAACAUUCGAUGCGACACGUGCUAAAAAUAAGCAAACGGAAACCAAACAGCCCCUUACACGUUCGCUGAUCCUGCGUGAUCGUCACGGUGCAGUUCGUGGAGUUUUGUGUCGAUCAGAUACCGACAACGGCUGGCUUCGACACUAUGAAACUUGCGGAGACAGCGAUCGGAUUUUAAUUGGCGUGCGCUGGCGAGUGUGGCCGUGCACCUGAUCGUACAUCGACGUCCGACCUGAUGAUUGUCACCGACUCGCCGUCGGCCGAACCUGUCGGCGGCGGGCCUGGCAAAAAUUAUCGAGACUUAUCUCUGUUUUCUUCUGUGGGUUGGCUGGCAGCCUGGCGCCCGUCCGCUCUGUUAAAUGGGCCGAUUAUUAAUACCUGGGCUGGCCUGCACUGGUAAGUUAAUGGGCAGCAGGCCUGUUUAAAACUCAGUCCAACAACGCCUUUGGUUCUCGGCCUUUCUCUUUCCAGAAGCAGGUUCAUGUUGGGUCGAGAGGAAGGAACAAGGCUCAAACGAGGCCGAUUUGGGACAGCCCACAAGACUCGAAAUGGGUGGUGGUGUUCCCGAGUCAAGGGACUGAUGUUUGCAUGCUCAACGAGGCUCAUCAAGCCCACCUAACAUUCUGCGUCAGUCGUUUUGAAUUAAAGAGAGAAAAAAUGGAGCCCUCUUCCAUCCUCCACGUCUUUGGUAGCCUUCAUGCCUCUAGUUCGGGGAACCAGGGUCCGACGUCCGCAUGUAUAUACGCCUUCCUAAUAAGUAACUUUUGGGUAGGUUAGUUUGCCCAUGGCAGGGUUAGUGUUGCAUUCGGGUAUUUGUCGUUGAUGGCAUCCUCUGUGAUGAAAAUCCCCUGUCGCUUAGCAUCAAGGUACGUCUUCCAGUUCCUGAUGGAGUUGGAACUGGGUUGGUGUGUAACAGUGUAAGGAUCCUCUUCUUUAUUCUUUCAUUGCUCGUCUAUCGGAUUUUGCCAUCGUGGCGACAUGCAUCUGUUUCUGAUCUUUGUGAUGAUUUUACAGGCGCCCAUACGGUGGAACCUUCGGUAGUUCAAGUAUUCAGCCACUUGGUUGUCGUGCCACCGUUGCCCUUUCAUCAAUUGAAGCUCCUUCGUCCGCUCGGGCCUCGGGAGCUUGCUUCCAGCCUCUCCCUCGGUGCUCUACUCUGCUGCCUGCGAAGGGGAAGUGCCAAGCAGAGGCGGAUGUGCUGACCGGACAAGCAUGAGUUCGUUGAGAGGUUCACUCUGCAAGUGACCGGUUGUAAAGGUAUUGUUUUCAUAUAUAUACCCCAUCACUUAUAAAAAGAUCAAAGUUUAGGGGAUCCAACCCAAUAUUUUUUAAAAAAUAAACAGACUGGACUAGAAAGUCGUUUGCCCCCAUCACUGAUCAAAGUUUCGAGCGCGUGCACCGUGCACGUUCGUCCACUCCGUCCAAGUGGGAGUCGCCGCCGACGGGUGACGCAUGCGUAUCUGCGGAGCGCGGAAACUUUGGCCCGGGCUCCACCGCGGUUUCCACCAGCUGUACGCCGUCGUGGGACGACCGACUCCCCCCGGCCACGGCGCCGGUCCGCCGGACCCGCUGUGGCGCUGUCACAGUCCGCGGCCCACACCGUGCCGCACUUCCGCACUUGCCUCCGCCCCCGUAAUCCGCACGGUCGGUGGGCGUCGCCGAGCCCACCCGCGGACCAGCCCGAAGCCCCGAAUCAAUUCCGUUCCAGGUGCUGGCUGAGUCACCGGGUGCUUGACUUCCACGGCUUCGGAGCACACGCGGCGGGGCCUCUGAAUUCGCAGCUUCAACGAAGACAGCGUCAUUAGUCCUCGCAUUGCCAAUGCCAACGUUUCCGUCUGAUCCAGUGUUGACGAAACCCAGCUCCGGGCACAUCCAAAAGCGGCGUAAACCUGUGCCUAUCCGAUGGAAGAUCGAGGAAAUUCGUGCGCAGCCGGCUUUGAAUUUUGUUGCGCUCAUUCUCGCUCAAGCCAGACAUGCAUCAUGUGCUGGCACGUCUGCAUGCAACCUAGCCAGCCUCCUACACUGUGGGGGUCGUUGCUGAUCCGUCCCAUGCGUGUACCACAUGCGUGCACCGCUGUGCUGCUGCUGUCCUAGGCCGUUGCAGGGGAGUCAGCUCCAGCGCGCGCCAACGCGCGCACCGUCCGUCCUGCAGCUCCAUUGGGGCUAGCUUGGAAGGCACACCAAAGGCCAGGUCACGAACCCGUGAUGUGUGUGGAUAUGGUAGCACGUAGCAGCGAUACGCUGACGGAACGGGCCCGUCGCCGCCCAACGAUGAGAGCGAUCGUGAACGCGAGCGAAACGCGCGGCCGGUGGCGCGUCCCCGAAUCGGAUCCUGUCACGUGUGGCAUGCGCGCGUACCCGGAAGGAAACUGGUGGCGGUAGCUGGUAGAUGCUGCCUGCUGGCCACGGCCGGGAUCGAUCACUUUACACGUCCGCCGGGAGAGAAAACAAAGGGUUAUCCACAAAUUUAUCCGGAUCACAUUUGCGUAAUCCGGCGCAGCAGCGCCGAGCCAACAACCACCUUUCGGGCUUGCCGAUGGAUCAGAUUAUUUUACGGGGGUGGACUGGUGCAGCGGAUUCGCAGGUUUUUCCUGGAAAAAGUUGUCGCGCACAUCGCGGCCGCGUGCGCGCAAUUAAUAAUCCGCGCUAAUCUAAUCCAGAACGGCCGGGGCGACGCACAUCGCUUUCCCGCUACGACGAGCCCGUGACGCUAGCACGUCGCGGUCGCUCGAAAUCGCCCGCUAGUCAUAUGAUCUCGCGGGCCUAGCUAGCUCUCGAGCUGGAUCUGGUCUGGUGGUGUUCUCUAUGGGGUCGUAAUUGCGUUGGGCUUCUUUCGAUCCGCUCUCGCCCGCUUUUCCGGAUCGAACACGUGGGAACUGAGGAAAAGCGCCUGGGCCCCGGAUGAGACCGAAUCAGGCGUGGAUAAGACGACAGAUUAGCAGUAGUAGCAGAGCAUGGAUGAGGGAUCGCCGAGUUGGUGGCUCCAUUUGCCUGCCUUUGUAUUUACUUCCGCCACGCUCUUCUUGUUCCUGAUUCUGUGAUGUAGCACUGCUUCUGUCGUGGAUAAGACGGAGACGCGCUCUUUUUCGACAAUGUUUUGUGGGUUAGGACGUGCUCGGUGUGUGUGGUUACAAAGAAAACGAUGGAUAAAGAUCCUGAAUGAGGUUGUCAGCAUGGUUAAUUGCCACAAUAAACACACGCUAGUGGCGCCACAUGAAUUUCCUUGAAAUUUUUACCGCAUUAUGUUCCUGUUCGUUGCGCACAAUAGCAUGCAGAAUGGGAAAACCAAGCCACGCCAUCCUUUGAGGCCACCAGCUUAUAUUUGUUAGCUCGUUGUUUAGGCGGGGUAGAAGAGUAUUCUCUAGCUUGGUAAUUGGUAUCUUUUUUCGUGGUUUGUGUUCACCCGCCGGAUUUGCAUGACAAGCCAAGCAGAGUAAUAUGCAUUUCUUAAACGGGAAACUGAAAUUUUUAGAGCGCGUUCAUUGCAGAUAACGUUCAGGCAAGAUUAAAGUGUAAGCGUUCAAGAUCUUAUUUGGAUCCAUCCAUCCAAAAUUUAGCUAGCUGAAUUUAUGGAUGUUUGGAUCCAUCAUCUUAAUAAUUAUUAAAGAGAUAUUUGUUUAUCCUGUACUGCAAUUCUGGUAACAAAGUAAAGGACCCGUCAAACUUGCCUGGCCUGCACGGCGGCCGGUCGACGGUGUCGAUUUGCUUGCGUCUAUUUCUUUUUGAUCGGUUGUAGAUGUGCUCUGUUAAUUGGAUGUUCCAGGGGUUUGGAUGGGAAUUUGGUUUGCUGGUUCGGAUUGAAAUAAAUAGUGUCUGGUGUAUGUAGAAGCGUCAGCGCGGCAUUCUCUUUCAGAACCAUCGCCGCUCUAGACCAGAGAGAGGGACGAGGAAGUCUCUGGACAAUGUUGCUAACUGACGGGCCUGUUCUGACCGUGCGAUUAAUUAAGGAUAGUGAAUGGACGACGCAGAUCAGUAGUCGACGUGGCACAAUGGGCGCUCGAGAAAGGCCCAAUUGCCUGACCGAGAUUCGUCUAUUAGAGAUCGUACGUCUUAGUCUACAAGCAUGGUUAACCUGCUCUUUUGGAUGAUCGAAAUGGCUCACCAACGUCGUCGACCUGGCGCAGGUUCUAGAAGACAGCUUGCGGAUCUGUCAACAACAGGCACAGCUAGUAGUUGAGGGCUUCAGGCAGUGGAUAACGCAUAAAGCACAGCGUAGUAGUCCGGGCGUACGCCUAGUCCUACCUGACGGAGCCGGUGGUUCGGCCGCGUGUCAGCGUGCCGUGGUAGCGCGGCAGAGCCGGCGCGGAGGCUGACGGCGUGAGGUGGCGUUCAUGAUGCUGACGGCGUCGUUAUCCCAUCCAUCCAAUUCUAAUAAGCAGGGUGCUUCAGAGAUUCAUCGAACACGACACCCCCAGGAUUAGCCCUGUUAAUUGGGUUGGGUUUAUUGGUUUUAAUGGUUUGGUUUAUAUAAUAAGUUCAUUUGAAUUGGUUUAUAAUGAGUUGGCCUGCUAGAUGGUUUGGUUUGGUUUGGGUUUUACAAAUAAAUAGUUUGGAAGGUGUUUGGGGUGUGUGGUAUUAUUUUUGGAUCUAAAAGACUCUCAACCCGUGGGUUGAGACCCAUUAAGAACCCAAAAGCCUGGAGCCUCAUCUAUCAAGAGUCGGACCCUAAAAAUAAAACCUCACGUUCACACCUUAAAAUUUUGGAUAAAUUGAUCGAAACUUGUUACAGAUGAAUUAGUUUAACAGUCCGCUACUGUAUGCAAAGCAGUACGGCUGGACUUACAUGUGGGGCCCGCGUCAAGAGUCGGACCCUAAAACUAAAACCUCGUGUUCACACCUUAAAAUUUUGGAUGAAUUGACCGAAACUUGUUGCAGAUGAAUUAGCUUGACAGUCCGCUACUUUGUGCAAAGUAGUAUGGCUAGACUUACAUGUGGGCCCCACGUUGAGAGUCACAUACAAACUCAAAAAAAAAAGUUAACUAAUGGGUUUUUAUUGGGUACCUAAUGGGUUCUUAUUGGGUUGUAACCAUAUUUGGCAAGUAAUUUGUAUAACUUAUGCAAUAGUAAGUUUGGGGUGGUGUGGUGUGUGAUAGUGGAGGUUUGGUUUAGGGUGGGUUAUAUUUAUUUUCUUAUGAGAAUAGAUUGGUGUGGUUACAACAUGGGUUACAACCCAAUUAACAGGGUGACCCAGGAUCCACGUGAUGCCACACAAAAAUGGAGAAAGAGAAAGGAAAGAGGAGAAGAAACAAGGGCUCGCGUUCGAUCAUUCAUGUUCUGAUGCUCGUUGGCCUUCCGCAGAUUCUUCGCCAGCUGAAGGCAAAUCGUAGGCAGCUCCGUGACUGAUUCUCGGAUACCGCGGUGCAUUUUCGUCGCCUCAUAAUCUACUUAAGCGCGAACGAUUUCUGAAGAAAUUUUCAUCGCCCAGCGAAAAGAUUUUUCCAGAGAGUACAAGGUGGGUACACGCCAAAAGCCAUUGCGCUGCUAAACGGGCACAUGAUCAGCCGACAAAGGCACACCAGCUUGUUGCCGCCAUAUGGCUGAUUUUGAAAUCGCCCGCAUGUUUAAACGAAUAGAUUUUGCAGCCCUGGAAUUCCAGAACUCUCAUUUUAAAAUCUCAUGCUCGCUGAUCUUGAUCACCGUGUGAAAUCAAUCAAAACACCGCAUUUUUUUAAAAAAAAAUCUUUUGGACAUGCAAACGUGCCAACUUUAAUUGCUGUGGAUCAGAAAGUCAGUACUCAGUACCCUGUAGUCAGCAAGAGUCCAUGCGCACGGAGAAAGGCAGAGUUUUAAUUUGCAACUUGCAUUCAUAUACUUCGAUUUGAUCCAAUCCAUACCCCACAAAGAAAAAAGAAGACAGGGGACGAAGACCAGUUGACUGUUCGUCAUCAUCCAGUCAUCCUACCUACUGCGAUGAUUAUAAUACGGUGAAUCUUAAACCAUUUUAAAUUUCCCGCUAAACCCGAAGAAUAAAGCCGUAUGAGUAAAUUAUUGCCCGGCCGACACCGUCAGCAGCGAGCGACGUCCCAGGCGUCACGGGCUACUGCAUGCCGGCGAGCUUGCCGUUGCCGUUGGCACCGCCGCGCAUCUCGAGGUCGGCGCCGACGUGCACGUCCUCGUCGCGGAUGAAGCGGCCCCAGUACCAGUGGUUCUUCCACACGAGCACCAUUUCCUCGAUGGGCACGUUCUUGGUCUCCGGCAGGAAGAGCGCGACGAAGAUGGUCAUGACCACCACCCAGGCGCCGAAGAAGAAGAAGAGGAUGAACUUGAAGCGGCAGAGCAUGGGGAGGAACGCCUGCGCGAUGAUGAAGGUGCAGAGCAUGUUGACGGACACGUUGAUGCUCUGCCCCGCCGACCGGAUCUCCAGCGGGAAGAUCUCGCUGGGCACCAGCCACCCGAGGGGUCCCCAUGACCAGGCGAACCCGGCCACGUAGGCGCAGAUGAAGAGCACCACGAUGGCGGCGUACGCCUUGGGGAUCUCCGCCACGCCGGAGAACCCGAACUUGGCGCCGAUCAGGCUACCGACGACGAUCUGGCAGGCGAGCAUCUGGGUCCCGCCCUGCAGGAACAGCUUGCGGCGGCCGAGGCGGUCCACGGUGACGAUGGAGACGAAGGUGGCGAAGACGUUGACGAGCCCCGUGAUGACGGCGGACAUGAGGGAGGCGUCGUCUGCGAAGCCCAGCGUCUUGAAGAGCACCGGUGCGUAGAACAUGAUGACGUUGAUGCCGGUGAGCUGCUGGAACAUGGGGAUGGCGAUGGCCAUGACGAGCUGCGGCCGGUAGCGCGGCUGCAGGAUAUUCCGCCACGGGUGCGCCACGAGCUUGGACUCCUCGCUGGCGGCGACAAGGUCGUUGUACUCCUCCUCCACGUCCUCCGUGCCGCGCACGCGCUUGAGCAUCCGCUUGGCGGCGUCGGUGUAGCCGCGGUCGAUGAGGGAGUUGGGGGUGUCGGGCAAGAACAGCGCGCCGAUGGCGAUGAUGGCCGCCGGCACCGCCGCCAGGGCCAGGCUCACGCGCCACCCCCAGCCGCCCUUGAUCUUGGCGGUGCCGUAGUUGAUGAGGUUGGCGCACAGGAUGCCGAUGGUGAUCAUGAGCUGGAACCCGAUGUUGAGCAUCCCACGGAGGCGCGCGGGGGCCAUCUCCGACAGGUACACCGGCACGGCCUGGUUGGCGAAGCCGACGCCGAUGCCGAGGAGGACGCGGCCGAGGAUGAGCAUGACGACGUCCUUGGCGGCGCCGUUGAGGGCCGCGCCGAUGAGGAACGUGACGCCGCCGCCGAACAUGGACCACUUGCGCCCGGCCACUCGCGUCACCGUGGCGGCGAAGAAGGAGGCCACCAACGCGGCGAGGUAGAGCGAGGAGGUGAACAUGGUCAGCAGCUGGCUGUCGAACUUGCAGUACUGGUUGGUCUGGUUCCGCUCCGCCUCCUGCUCCUUGCGGUACACCGACGGGAAGAACUUCAUCAGGAACGGGUUCAUCGACGUCACGCCACCUGAUCAUCACGAACAAACGUCAGUUUUUUUUUGCUUUGCCACUGAUUUUUUGCUUCUAAGACUAUUCUAAUUUUCUGAAGGAAUGAUCUGAGGUGAUGUUUUUUGUUUAUUUGGAAAAAAGAAGGCUAGGUGAUGCAUGGAAAGAUUCUUCUUGGCUUUGCGAAAGAAUCUGGGAAACCAAAUAAAGAAAAGGCGGGGGAAUAUCGCAGUUUUGUUUGUAUGUGUAAAAUCAUGCGUCGGGUCUCCCGACAGCACGGUAGGUGAACUGCGCCCGAGAAAAUACCCUGAUUUGCAAGAACAGAGCAGCGUGCGAGAUGCAAACAGAGAGUGUGUUUUCUCUCUCUUUCUAAUCAUAGCCAUGAUUUUUUUUUUGAAAAAGAUCAGGAACAGAAGAACAUCGCAGAGGGACGGGAUGCGUAGCUUACCAGAGAUGCCGAUGUCAUAUCCGAAGAUGAGGCCGCCGGUGGCGGCGACGAUGCAGGCGAAGAGCACGAACAUGGUGAGCUUGCCGGGGUAGUCCUUGCCCCCUCCGGUGUUCACCACCACGCCGCCGGCCAUGGCGACUGCCCAAUACUCAAACCACAAACACACAAAGCUUUCGCCUCACACGAUCACAGGCUAGCUCCACACAGAAGACUUCACGAAAGGCCUAUGCCAAGAGGAAAAGAAUGGAAGUGCUCGUGAGCGCCCGGAGAAGAUGGGAACGUCUGCGAGUUCAGAGGCGAACGGAGGCAGCGUUGAUUGUUGAGACGGGGGAGGAGCGGGCGGGCAUUUAUAGGCGGGGCGAGGGGCCUCCAUGUGAAUGGGCGACGAGCUGGAGGGUGAGACUGCCAGGGUGGGGCCAACGCUCCCUCCCGCCCGCGCUUGUUUUUCCGUUCAUUAAUUGUGGCCGUGGAUAAAUCUUUAUCCCAGCUACCGGCCCCACCACCCCCGCUUCUUCCUUCCUGGAAAGACCCAGCGGCCAUUAAUGUGAACACGGCGCCGGUGCAGGCGCGCCAGCUGCUUUCCGCUCCCGGCGACGGCGGGGAGGAGGGUCGCCGUUCGCCGCCGUCCACCGCGAGAACGCGUGCGUGUACACGCUCGAGAUGGGCUGGCGGUGUUAUCCGUUCCGUUCCCGUUUUCGCUGCGAAAUGUAAACGUGCAGUGGAUAACGGCAUUAUUAGGUUCGAGGGUAGAAGAACAGUUAGCGGGGGGAUCUCCUGCUGUGCUGUGUCUGGAUUUCUGGAGUCACACCUGCUGAUGACUCGGCGACAGGUCAUGCAGGCUCCAUGCGUAGCGUAGCAGCGUUAAUGGCGAAUCCGAUUCUUGCUGAUCAAGUUCCUCGAUUGUGGUUUAAUUUGGCAGGGUGGGUAGGUGCAUGCCGUUGCCUUCCUCAUGGGAGGUGAGGUACGCUUGCUGACGUGGAACCGGCUGUGCAAGUGUUGAGCACAUGUGGAUGGGUCAACGGCUCAACGCUGGUCCAAAUUAAAACAGAUGAAACUGAUUAACCAGGCUGCGGCAUGGCAAAUUUGCGCAAAGAAAGAACCGAAUAAAAGGGUUCAGUUUUCUCUUAGGUUAUGGGUCUUGAUCUAAACGAUGAUGUAGAUUCUUAGGUUAACCAUCAUAACUCGACGAAAUCAGAUAAUGGAAUGCGGCGUUUUAUGAUCAAGCCGUGACAUGCUAUGCUGACCCACAAGAUCCAAAGUGCGCAACUUGGCUGCAUUCACCGAACACAUGCUCGCUCGGCGGCCACGGAAGUUGGGACUUGGACGGAAUGAUGGAGGCAUUGUUUAACACAAGCGCGAGCACGUCGCAGUCAUCGUGGGCGAACAGUGCCCCGGGACUGGCUCGGCCGGUCGGCUGCGUACCCGUCGGACAGCUAAUCUGCUAGCUCGGACGACCAUGGCCUCAUCUACUAUCUCCUUGGUCCGGCGCCGACCGGUGCGCCAGCACGUAUAUACUAGUACAGAAAAGCCAUCGAGCCAGACACGGCGAACCGCCGCCAACGGCGUUUUCUCCGAUCCGGGCACAUGUUAGGAACGAUCUGCCUGAGAUAUUUCUCCUUUUCGUACUGGCUCCCGCCGCCGUGGUGGUGUGCGUGCGUGGCGUCGUCACGCCACCACAUUACUGCGUUCUCGUCGCUGGAGUCGGCGGCUUCCGGCGGAGUCAAAGGAGGGUGCGGCAGAGGCGCGCGGGCGCUCGGGGCUAGCUGGCCGGACCGCGCCGGGAGCCGGUGCGGGCAAAGCUAGGCCGCAGGUGUGGGAUCGCUGGGAUACGCUAGCUUGCAGCCAUGUCGACGUCGCCGCAUCGCGGACGCGACAAGGACGCCUCCCAUUUGUACCGGUCCCGUCCGGCCUGUAGCCCGGUAGCAUGCGUGAGUAAUGCCAAGCGCCGGUCACGAUCCUAGGCUCACUAAUGGCUUGCUGGGUAAUGGCAAGCUAACUGCUAUAAUUUGGUCAAAGGGAUGCCGAUCUCGACGGUCGGAGCAAGCUAGCCUGGUCCACGGAACUACGGCGCCCAUGUCGGUCUCUGUGGGAACUAGGAAGGGCAUGCCAGUAGGAGUGCAGGAGGCAACCGCAAGUACACAAGGCUAAGAAGAAGCUAAGCACAUGGGACGGGACGGGGAAGGCGGAAGGCAGGCCUGCGAUCCGAGUCAACGAUCGACUGGGAUACGCGAAGAAGACGGGCCAGCCAUGCCAUGGUUCCGAGCAAGAGGGGGGAGGGAGAGGCCGAUGCGCGUGCGUCACCGCGACGACGAGAGCGAAGCCAGCGGACGGGUCCGGCGACCGGCGCUGAGGUCAAGCCCACCCCAAGACGUGUGCCUGUCAGUGUGGACGCAGCAGCUCCCGCAUGUGCCGCUCGUUCUCGCGCCUCGCCAGUCAAUGCCAACCAGCCGGGUCAACCACUGCUGCUGCCAGUCGACUGCGAGUCCUUGCUGGGCUUUCACUGUUGCCGGGAUAAGACCCCGCUGAGAUUUGACUUGAUUGAUACUCCUACGAUGCUGCUGCCCAACCCAAGUCGGCUGGCAAGAGCCCAAAAAAUGUGCGGAUUGGGAUCGUACUGUGGUCCGUGGUGACCUUUUGUGGAAAGUGGGACCCUACAAGCAGCCUCGUUUGAAAAAGUCUCGUAGGAGGAAGAGUCCUAGACUGCGGUCCACCAAUCAACAUCCAGCAAAACCCAAGAAUAUUCAGACUAGCAGACAAAAGAAAGAGCUGCUGCAACUUUGCAUGGCGUGGUGCGUUGCAUACUUGCACACCACCGUUUGUCAACAGUACAGUUUUUCGACUUUUCGUUCGGCAUGGGCCUACGGUGUGUAAUCUACACGUUGUCAUGUUUGAAUACUGUUACGAUGCACUCAUCGAAAUCCGAAAACAAACUACUACUGCUUUUGUACUAAAAUAUGUAAUCUGCUUCUUCCAACUGCCCAAAGUCCAAAACAAUAUGCUAAAUGACUAAAGCACGUCCUAAGAAACUGAGCUGCGCGAGUGCAAGUAGCAGCAGCAGCAGAUGAACAAUGUGCCGCUACCAGUAAAGCCCGAGUUCUAAAACCCUGAGCCAUACGUGGAAAGCUCAGCGGCGGCGGUUCUCGCGCCAUUUCUUCGUUCAAGGCGUGCAGGAAAGCAUGCUGCUCCGUCCAUCAAGUGCCAAAGGUUAGUGAAAAAGCGUGCGUUCAGGUUUAAUUUGAGACUUCAACUGUCGUUUUGUUCUGUUCCUAGUUCUUACCGCCAAGAAGACCACACGCGCUAUGACCUGACCUGUGAGAUGUUUACAGUUGACGCCGUAUCCGUAUCCGUAGUCAAUUACAGUGACACGCAAGACCACCAGAGCUACCUACAUGAGGACGAUGUAAUUUUCUUCCUUGAGCGCAGGAUAUUUUCAAGGUCAAUGCUGCUGGGUAGUAACGUAGCCCACGAGGCCGCCCCGCUUAAUUGCCGCUCGUGGCCGUUGCGGCCGAGCUGCAAUAACCACGCGGAUUAAACAAUCUUCGCCUGCUAAGCCCACAAAACAAUAUUGCAUACCCGCGAAAACCCGCAAGGACCCACUUCAUGACAACGCCCAUCUCCUUUCUUUUGCUCGCCACGGUGCUGCCCGGCGCCGCCGGACGAUGGUCACCGGAGGGUGAGCAUAACGAGGAAGCCGAGGAACGUCGCCGCGCCGACGCCGGAUCAGCUGAAGACGAUAAGCUGUGCCAUGCACUCGCGCGACCGCCGGAGUUUAUCGUAGCUCCUCGGGACUACGCCGGAGCAGCAGAGCACGAUGACGCCGCCGCCUUCGCCGCCCUCUGCUUGCAGGCUCACCUCUCGCACGUGGCCACGCCGAUCGUCGCACGUGAUGGUGGUCUAGACGGCCACGACGCCAGCGCCGGCGCCGGCGCCGGUGCCGAGCACGAGAGCGUCGACGCGGAACGGGGCGCCCAGGAACCUGCCAGACGAUGCGCAACAUGAUGCAGGCUCCACCUCUCGUCGCCAUCGACCCUGCCAGCAACGCCUCCGAUGGCACCAACGUCCACCUCAAAGAGAGCCAGCAGGCCUUGUGACUAGCGCUGAUGAUUCUUUCGGACGCUCGCGGGGUUUGCGGACACAGCCACCAGGCCCACUAACCAAGCACACUAAUUCCCAUGCGGGUUAGCGGCUUCUCGUGAUUGAUUGAAAAUGCUUUGCGGGCUAACGCAUGUGGGUUGUGGCUGUCCACAACCCGCCCCGCCUGCAUCCCUACUGCUGGGCACUCGAUCACGGUCUCACCGGUUGGUCUCACGGGCUACCUCAACCAGUUAAGUCUGUCAAUUUUCACUGUCACAUUCAACCAGCUGGUAAAGCAGGUUUAUCCAGCAGGAAUAUUCAUCGUCAGUGAGCAUAAGAUAUGUGAAUGCACGGCAUGCGGCGUGCAUAUCUCUUUCACUCACGUCGCUGCACGCAAAGGCCUAGACGCGCGUGUGGCUGGUCGAGCCGCCGGGCAAUAUUCUACAAGUCAAGCAGAUUCCUUUUUCAUCACAUCAACGAGUGGCCCCGCCAGUAAUCGUACCUACCAGCAGCCACUAUUCUACUUACAAGUUAACCGAUGGAAUCGAUUGACAUGUGCAACACGGGUGUGCACAAUUAAGAUGGCCAGAUGGGCCUUAAUUACUACUACUAGUAGCAGUAGAUUAACACCAAACUACAGUGUAUAUUAUUCGAUCCUCGUCGUACUUAAUAUUUGCUUCACGUACCCUGCAAAUAGCAAAAUGUUUUCCUUUUCCCUUCAUUUCAUCCCAAUCUUAAGCAAGUGCAUUUCGUCGACCGAUAGUAGACACGUGCGACCUGUCUGUUUUUUUCCCCCCUGAAGUCCCUGAUCGGCUGAUCUCAUUAUCAAAUCACUGAAAUCAGAGAGGGGGGUCGCAUUCUCUUUUGCGGAUGGAGCACAAACUGGCGGGCUGUAUUCUUUGGUCAUUUACUCGUUCAGUUUCCAAACGCUAAUGCCGUCCGAGUCACGUGCAAUCAUGUGCGGAUUCUGGUCUACAUUCUUCCGAGAAUGACACCCAGUUUGCCCACACGCAGUCACGUGCAAAUAAAAAGGGCCGGAAUGGAUUCUAGGAAUUUGAGGCCACGAGCUUGGUGCCUGUAGUGAGUGGCUCACUGGCUCGUCAGCUAUCACCGUUUUCCACGGGUGCCCGCCCUCUCGCCUGUGAUUUGAUUUUGGAAUCCCAAGUGAUGGGCACUAGCGAUUUGUGGAUCGUGCCCGUCGCCCGUGCGCUGAGAUUGUGUGGGGGUAUGCAGGAAACGUGGCAAGCAGAGGCACCGAGAUGACUCGGAGCGAGGCGGACGUCCGCUUCAGUUUUGAUCAUACAGAGUUGCAGACCGGGCGAAAGUUGGAGUAGCGACGCAUUCUGUGAGGGUUCUGCUCGUGAGUCGUGAUACGGUAGCAGAGGUGCUGGCAAACUAGAUAAGAUAGUGUACAAAGAAAGGAAGGGGAGAGCAAAGUGAACUCAGAUCUCAAAUUGCAAAGCUGAAUGUUCAGAUCAGAGAUGUGAAGCGCAGCAGCUUGAGAAUUUCCGGUAAUGUAGCUGAAGAAAAAUACUGAGCUUAAGCUGUUUGAAAUGAUAGUUUAUGGCCCAUCGAUGUGCUGGGCCUGAGCGCCUUCACGCGCGCGCGAGAGGACCAAUCCCUUCAUGGGCUUUUGUCGGUCUAGAUCAGCCCAAAUCUUUCACGCUCAUGAUGGACUGGAUCACCACCUACAACACCGGAGGAAGAUGAAGCCCAAAAAUUCGUCACAUACAGGUGUACCCUGAACCGGACGGCCCGGGCGCGGCACGGCGGCAUCACAGGACCGUUGCGCGGCGGCCAGCUGCGGCAAAACAAAAAAAAGAGAUGCGUCUGCCGGGAGUCGAACCCGGGUCUAUUGCUUGGAAGGCAAUUAUCCUAACCGUUGGACUACAAACGCCUUGUUGAGGUAAAGGUUAAGAUUAAAAAUAAUAGAGAACAGACACAUGAGAGCAUGUAUAUUAGGCACCUUCUUUCCCUUUUCCUUUGAUAUGUUUUCAUUUCUGUACCUUUUUCCCCGACUCCCAGUGUUAAUUGAGAACCUCUAGAACACAAAGUCCCUGGACCCUAUGCUGUUAGUCAGCAAAGCUUUUAGGUCUCUGUUGACAGGGCUCAGCUUUUCUAUAGGUGGUCAACUUCAACAAGAAAAAGUCGGAAAGAAAGCAGCGUCAGAGUAACAUAAUCUCUGGAUGAUGUAGUAGCCAACCUAACCCAACAAUCAUCUCACGGUCUUCCAGAAAUCCGGAACUACUUUUAAGCGUUGACGUUCCAGAACAAAAAGCUCUUGAUUGCUGCAGAACGGCGCCUCCCCUCCCUCAACUGCCUCGGACUUGGAGACAGACACCUUGCACAUCACAGGGGCCAAUGCCACUACGAAGCUGAUGGUGCGACCAAUUGUAAGGUUGGCCGGUGUUGGAAACUGGAGAUCAAAAUAAAACAGAGGGAAUUGCUUGUUGGGCAGACGUUUUCAUGUGCUCACUGCUCAGUGAAUGGCUGCUGGAAAAGGCAGCUCGCCUGACUCUGACUCAGUGAUGACCGGGGAACAAACUACCGAACCUGCCCGUCGAAAAGAAACCAUUCCUGUCUGAAUAAACGACCCGUGUCUGGAGAUGCGCUGUCCAACGUCUCUGACUGAAGCUUCUCACGACAGGUACGUGUAGCCGGAACUGCCAUCUCGGCUCAUACCUCUGAAGUCAUGCUGAGUUGCUAGCUGCUCAAACAUCUUGUCUGAAACUUGAAGCAAGCGAAUGCUCCUCCUCAUCGAACAAGGACUGACCUGACUGUUCGGCUCAGAGGGGGACAGGAAACUAGAAAAGCAGCCAUCAAGCUGAUGCCAAUGUUGCGUGUCUCCUUCAGCCAGUUAUUGGUCAUUUCAGGCUCUCGACAGCGAGGCUUGAGCAACGGAAGCACGGACGGUCGAUCGGGGGCUCGGGGCAGGUCUACGCGCCAAUGCCUCGGCAUUGUGACGCUGGAAAUUUCACUGGUCCAGGUCUCAGAUUCAGCCACACGGUACUGAAUCCAAACUACUGGUGUAGCACAUAAAGUCGUGUAUUGUUCAUGUUCAAUGACCGUGCUUCUGCAUCGACAUUGCAGAUUUACAGUAUCUUCCACGACCAGUCAGAGAGUUUUAUUGCCCUGCUUUGACUCGAUAGUACAAUCUUCAGAAACACCUGCAGAUGCUGCAGCACGCGAGAUAAACGCACAGUUACAUUUACAUCCUGCAAAAGGUCUGCAGACACAGCAGCAAUGGAUCGAGUGCGUCAGAGAAGACGACCAGUCGCCAAUAGAUCCGCAGCUCUGCGUGCAAUAAGUGUGUCCACAUGGAUGGAUCGAGGUAAAGAAGACGGCGACUUAUUGCGAUCGCGAGAGCUAGCUUGAGCCCAUGAUCGCAGCUCGUCGGCAGGCAGGCACGCAGUACCCGCACUGUACCGCGAGAGAUCAUAACGCGAAGGCGACCCUACCGCGCGAUCGCGAAAGCUCAGAUCGAUUUGCCAUUUUGCUGCUGAAUGAUUGGUUUCCAUCACUCAUUUGGGCCAUGGUCCACGCCGCCCACCUUUCUGUCAAAGAUGAAUGUGCCCAGCGGCAAGAAGGAAAACAUCCGAUGCACAGGUAAAAGUGUGCGAUUUUCUGAUGCUGAUGCAGUCACUGGGUGGAUGGAUUAGUUGUUGAAUGGACUCGCACUUUUAUUUGACAGUGAUGAGUGAUAUACACAUGGGGUGACAAAUCACUGGGUGAUUCAUUCUUUGAUUCCUUCACAGCAACAAAAGAUGCAAGGAACAUGUGUGUUAGCUAGAGGUACAGUACUAGUAAGUGACAGCUAGUUCUUGUCGCCAAGGAUUACAGGCUCCAGAUGCCAUGGAAAAUACUCCUCAGCUUGCUCCCGCCAAGCUUCUUCACGAUCCGUUUGGCGUCCGGGACAUUAGUCUCCGCGAGCUUCUCGAGAUUCCUGCCAUGGAAACAUAACAAACAGAUCGUGAGAAUUUCUAGUGAGAUGAGAUGUGAUGAACAAAAACACAUAACGAUUAGUCAGUGAUUGACAGGUGGUGUCUGUACCUGACGUGCUCCGAGGACAUGAUCUUCCUCCGGCCGGAGCUGCUGUCCGUGAGGUGCAUCAGCGUCGACAGCAGCAACCGCUUCGCCGGCGUGGGCUUCUCCUCUUCGGGGCCCAGUAGCUGCAGCACCUGCGCCACGUUGCGGUCAUCCUGGACGAACCGCUUCCGGUUGCGGUGCACGGACACCAUGGCGCAGAGCGUGUCCGCCGCCAUCUCCCGCGCCUCCGGGGACUUGGCCGCGCGGAGGACGCUCACCAUCUCCGGCAUGAACCCAGCGUCCCCCAUCGCCUUCCUGAUCUCCUCGGACACCUGGCACAGGCGGUGCGCCGCCUUGAGGGCGCAAUGCUGCAGCGUGGUGUCGCCGUUGCGUAGCAGGGAGAGGACGCGGUCCAGGAACCCGGCGGCGAGGAGCCGGUCCGUGGAGGUCGGCGGCGAGAGACAGAUCGCGUCGAUGGCGCGGAGGGCGACCUCGCGCGCCUUCGAGGAGCGCGUCGGGGAGGACGGGUCGAGCGCGCGGACGAGGGACUCGACGGCGCCUUCCUGAAUGACGGCCUCCCUGGCGGAGCUGUCCCCGGAGGCGAUGGCGGCGAGGAGCUCCAUCGCCUGGAUCCGCGCCGCGUCGUCCGUGGCGGCGCCCUGCGAGAGCGACACGAGCGCCGGCACGGCGCCGGCGUCGGCCACCAUGUACUUCCUGAUCUCGUCCACGCCUGCGAGGCUCCGCAGCACCCGGCACGCCGCGCACACGAGCUCGCCGCCGCGCGCGCCGUGGUCCGUGCACACGUUGAGCAGCGCCGUGACGCCACCGUGCGCGGCGACGGCCCAGGCAUUAUCCGAGUUCUCGGUGAGCCUGCAGAGCACCCGCGCCGCGCGCUCCUUGGCCGCCGCGGUGCUGCCGGCGCCCGCGUCGAGGACCCGGACCACGGGGGCGAUGACGCCGCCGACGACCAGGUCGCCCCUGUGCGCGUCGGACCCGGCGAUCACCGAGACCGCCUCCAGGGCCUCCUCCUGGACGCGCGGGUCGGGGCACUCGAGCAGCGAGACAAGGACCCCGACGCCGUCCGGGACGUCGGAGGCCACGACGCGGACGCACUUCUCGUCGUCGCGCAGAGCCUCGCCGAGCGCGGCGGCGGCCUCCCUCCGCAUCUCGGCGCCGCCGGCCCGGAGCCUGGCGAAGAGGUCCCGCACGUAGAACCGCACGUCAUCGCGGGUGGCGCCGGCGCCGGGGCGUGGCACCACCAGCGCCCGCGCCCGCGUGAGCGCGCCCGACGCGUACACCUCGUCCAGCCGCGCCACGUGCGCGUCGAGCGCCGCCGCCAGGACGUCGAGGUCGCUGCGCAGCCGCAGCUUGCCGCCGCCGUAGUGCCGCCCCUGGCUGCGCGGCACCAGCUCCAGCGCCUCCCGGGCGGUCGCCGCGACGUCCCGCAGGAGGCUCGCGAACGCGUCGCACCUGUCCUCGCCGUUGUCGUCGUCGGCGCCGGUGACGGUGAUGUCGGCGAGGCCGGCGUGGAGGCGGUUGAGCCGGUCCCUGAUGAGCUGCCACUUGAGCGGGAACAGCGUGGCCGACAAGGAAGCGGAGACCAAGGAACUGAUGGCGUCCAGCGCCUCCGCAAGCAUCCCCUGCUCAUCCAGCUCCUCGUUCUGGCUCAACUCCGCCGCCGGCGCGGCCGCUUCUUCCUCCCCUGCUUCUCCCAUCCUCCUGUCCUGUCCAAGCUCACUGCCUCAGCAGCAUCGGUCAGCUCCUUCUCCGAAGAAGGCUCACAUGCACCUCUUCGAUUCUCGCCGAGCUUGCAUCGUGGUGGUGGUCGAGCGAGGACGAGAGGAGAGGUGGAAGGAAGCAGCGGUGCGUGGAGUGUGAUAACUGUAACUGCACGGUGGCGCUGAACUGGAAGAGACGGGCAGCUUUGGCGUCUUCCAGGUAGUUAAUGGAGGUGGAGGUGGAGGCGGGUGGGCCCGGCAGUGGGCGGUGGACCUACCGGCCGGGGCGCAGGCGCAGCACGAGCGCGCGACUGUUGAUGCAUGCGCUGGGCUUCUCGGGGAAACACGACGACGAGGCCCCGCCUGCCCUGGGGAUCGGCGAGCUUUGGUGCGGAGCGGCAAGCGCACGACGAGGGGAAUGGAAUAGCGGCACAAGUGACCAAGCCUGCCAGCGUCCACUGGCUACGGGUUUAGGAUCGCGUGACACGCUCAAAUGCUAGGCGCACAUAGAGGAGAAAUAUGGAACCCUCUCCAGCUCAAGUGUCAACCAUUUGAACAACACAAAUAUACAGUAUCUUGUUCUGUGCGGUGAAAGACGAAACUAUGCAAGCCGACACGACAACCUCCUCAUCAGUCUUGUAUUGUAUCUCUCACAAAUAUGGCUAUUUAUUUGGCCAUAGGCGGUGUACUGCUCAUUGAUAGCAAGGUACGUGACCUUGUCACCCUGAACGUCUAUGUGUGUGUGUGAAUCAGUGGUUGUGCCAAUAUAUUUAUUUCUUUUUCAUAAAAAAUAUGGACGCUGAUACUGCAUCUGAGUGCCACAUCAAGAGCUUUCAGGAUGGAUGUCAAUGCUCAUUCAUAUAGCUUGAUGUAUCCACUAUUCCACUAGAAUGGAACUCAUCUGUUACUAUUUGCACUAACAAACACCAUGACUCAAAUUCGGUCAAAUAAAUCAUUUAUUUUUAUAUGUAGUAAAACUUCUCACUGAUGGUUUGGAUGAUAUACUCCUUUUUGGUUCGAACAACUCAUUGUCCUAGAUAUAACAUAGAGAAUAAAAUAAUGAUACACUAGAAUUGAACUCAUUUCUUACUCUUUGCACUGACAAACACCACGACUCAAAUUCGGUUAAAUAAACCAUUCAUUUUUAUGUAGUAAAAUUUUUACUGAUGGUUUCAAUUUUUUAUGUAGUAUGCGAAUAUGGAUGGAUCAUGGAUGCCUAGCAUUAUCUACAUAGCACGCUCAAUACUCAUGCAUUCUCUAGGCUACAAAAUAUAUUAUUUUUAAUUAUUUUGAAACUAUUUGAAAAUAGUCAUUAUAAUUGAACCUAUUUAGAUUUGUAUCUAUGACUAUUGAUAUUAAUAUGGUUAAUGGUAUUAAUUUUAAUCAUAUGACUAAUGAUAUACAAUUUAACUUCAAAUUGCGCACAUUCAAUAAUUAAAAAUUGAAUCUAUUUAAAAUUUGCAAUAAUUAUCUUGAAACUAUUUUAGAAUGGUAUCUAUGAAUAAUAAAAAUAUUAAAUUGUAUAAACUAUUUAUUUCUAAUUUCAAUUAAUGUUGGCAAUGCUAUAUAUCCCAUGUUGUAUUUUUAUGACUUGUAAUAUGAUUGGUGUAAAUAAAUGUGUAGUUGUGAAAAUAGAAAAAAUAUGAAAUAUUAAUGGUAUAUUUUUAUUCAUCUAACUCAGUGUUUGGUUAACAUAUUAGCCCGGUUUUCAAUCAAAAUAUUAUUUUUUUAAUAAUUUAUUUAUAAUGGUUCUAAGAAAGUAUUAACUCAAUAUACAUGUUCAAACCAUUAUUAGUUUUUAUGUGUUUUUGUUCUUAAAUAUAAGUAUCCUUUGGUUUUUGAAAUGAAAAGAGAAUUUAUAAUUUGAGGUGCAGAUAGUCCAAUUUCUAUCUGUAUUAAAGAUUCAAGAGUAUCCUAAUUCAUUUUAAAAUAUGGAUACAAAAGUGGAAAGAGCAAUAUAUAACGGUAUCCUAUCUAAUUUCCAUCCCCGAAAAUCUCAACGUGGUGACCACUUUCCACGAACGAAACUCGCCACAGCUCGGACGCAUGAUUCAUCACGAGAUGCAACAUCGAGUUCUUAGCAUCGACCGAUGGCAUCAUGGCAAAGCGAACAAAGUCUGUCAAGUCAGUCCAGGCAUCUAGCAGCGCAGCCUGCAGCCGAGAAUCACGAAGCACUGCCGCACUGGCACUGAAGCAUCCACUCAACGCCGAAGAACGCGCGCGACUGGACAAGAGCGCAUGCACGGGAGCAAUUCCUGUGCGCCUGCCUCAUCGUGCCAUGCAUGCAAUCCUGCCAUGAAAACUACUACUCUAGAACUGCCAAUCUUCUCGUCGCCUAGGAAAGGGUCCAUUUCUAUCCACUUGCGCUUCGCUUCUACGCCGCUCAUGUGAGCCCUUCCUUAAUUUGGCUGCACCUGCACCUGCACCUCACGAGAGAGCCUCGCUUUAGCUGGUGUGGAUGUGAAGGAACAAAGGGCGAAAGGAGCACAGGAAAAGAUGCAUAAAAAGCUCUGCAUGGCAAGGAUCACACAAGGGUCUUGUUGCCCUCAUGGCAAGAAAAGGGCGCCCGCUUUCCUCUUUCUGGAGAUCCGCAGAAUACUUGGCGGUUGGUCAUGUGAGAGCGAGAGGCAAACGGCAUCGGCUACCUGCUCUGCUCAGCUACCGGUCUGUUACUGCAGUGUGAUCCGUGAUGCUGCAUUGCCGUGGUAAAGAACAGUGCAGGAUGGAAACAUGUGAUUCGUGAACAUUCCAUCAGGCAAACAGAGAUGAGAACAAUUUAGCAUGAUUUUGCCGUGUAUGGCUGCAUGCUGCAUCGGUACGUCCGUCGGAUUAUUGUCUCUGGAUGGAUUGUGACUUUGUGAGAGCCCAUGCCUGCAUGGGAGCUGGGGGCUCAGCACAUGUGGCUGGAACUGUGGAUGGAUAGCUGCGAGACUCUACCAAUAUCACUGAUAUGAAAUCAAUCAAUAAUGUUUCGGAAAAUGCAGCUGCAGUGGUCACGUAUGCAUGGCUGGAAUCGUCUACUGUUUGGAAUCAGUACCUAGCAGGAUAACAGACCAUCUCCUCCUUAGAAAAAAAAUGAAGGCAAAGUCUGUACAGAACUUUCACACAGAUUGUGGCUACCUGAUUGUAUGAGCCACCACUCAUCUCCUGUAGUUAGUUCUUCAGAAACCUUGGACCCAUCUCCUCAUAAUGCCAUUGUUCUCUGGACAAACUCAAUAAAUUGGUAAUACGAGAUCCUGGAAAAGGGACAGAUCUCUGAUCUGGACCCAUGAUUGCCCUUCAAGAUCAUCAUGGGUAGUGGCUCGCAAAGCGCUCCCAAAGUUUUGGUCCCAUGGAAAGUGGUUGUGGGUGACAAAGUACAUGUGCUAUAGCCCAUAGGAUGAUAUGGUAGUAAAAGCUUCGGUUUCCCCAUGGAGAGGAAAAGCCACCCCCACUUUCUUGAGAAGAAAAAAGUUUGUAAGCCAACAGCUAUCUUUUGCUGCAAUGUUUAUGCAUUGACUCAAAUCAUCGCAGCAGAUUUGGCCGCUGAUUGUCAAACCUAGCGCAUGCUGAUUCUCUAGGUGCUUUGAGUGGCUCAAGGAUUUUGUCAUGUCUCUGCAAGAAAUGUUUUUUAAUAAAAAAAGGAGAAAGAAAUGUUUCUGGAUGCAGUGAGUGCAGUUAAUACUGAAACAGACAUGAUUAUAAAGUACAAAAUCAAACUUGACAGUUAGUGGCAUAUGAUCCAAUCUAGUUCAUCAUUAGACUAGGUGAUCUCAAGAGUAGGUAAUUUAGACGGAAAGGCAUGUAAUCCAAAGUAGAACGAAGAUGUACCCAAUCUGAACCUUGCUUUUGCUUUGCUAUCCAAGAUCAUGCGGUGGAGUAGUUGCUUUUCGAGCUUUCAAGAGACAAGCCAGUGCUACAGAACAGUUGCUUGGGACAGUACUGUACUGGUGAAGUUUUAUCAAAAAAUAUUAUUGGAGAGCGUUCGCUACCUAAAAUUAGCCAACUGAAAGCAAAACACCACCAACCAUCAGUUUGACAUGCAUGCAUCCUUUAAUUAGUUGUCUUAAAUUGUCAUGCAGUUUGUGAUACAAUGAACCAUGUCUGAUAUUCUUCAAUGACAAACUAUUUUUUUUCACUAAUUUACUGCUAAAUUUUAGUAGUUUCUUGCAGCAGUGUUUGUUUACUACUGUUGACGCAGCCUGCCGGAUCAUGAAGCAGGAUUGUAGAACAGUCCAAGAUCCAGGUUAUAAAAAAUAAACUGUACUGAAUGUUUGGGAUCCAAGAUAUGUUACCGUAGAAUGUAAGCUGGAAACAAGUUUAGAAUCAUCAGUGGUUGGUCAUCUUACCGAUCCCUUCAGCACUCCAUAGAGAUUGAUGUGUUCAAUCAAGUGCUGGGGAAUAAAGAAGUGAUAUGUUUGGUAAAAGGAAAAUGAAUAAGUUGGAUAUACCCGAACCACUCCACAUGCUCUGCCGCAGUUCCGACACAAGACUGAAUUAAUAUGUAUGCAGUCGAGAAAGACAAAUGGUCGAAGGCAGGAACAAUUAUAGGGACUGGUGAAUAAAGAAUCUACAAAGAAAUAUUAAAUUAAAUUAUCUUUAAAAUGUUGCAUGCAAAUGUCGUAACCCUAAAAAAAAAAACAGACCAACAUAAGACAAACAAAAUAAAGUGCAGAUUCAUGAAGAGCGUAUCACAAUAAAACAGAUAAACAAGGACGCAACACACAACUGAAGAAACUUUCUGAAGAACUCCUGUGUGUGACACGACCCAACACCUGCAGGCAGAUCGAUGACACCUUUCUCAUGAACAAAUCACUGCCAAAGAUCACUGACAAAUUUGAUGAGACCGAUUAACUUAACAGCAAUAUUCAGAUCAAUUUCAUUGUAAACUCUGCAUAACUUGGUCCACAAUUGGUUCUGAAAAUGACACCGUAUCGUGACACGCCGUCUGCUGGUUCUAGUGGGCCACAGCUCUCUAUGAGCAUGACUCGGCCACGAUAUGCCAUUUCUUCACCAUUUUCAUAUCCAAAAAAGCUCCAAAUACUGUCUGUCCCAAGUUAUCUCAUCCAGAGUUUCAGUCAUGCAGCACCUCCUGAUUCUACCGGAGGUCUAGAGCACUUCCUUUGAGCAGUUGCUCUAGAGCAGUUCCUUUGAGCACAGCCUCGAUAUCCAGCCUGUACCAGGGCCCAACGACGGCGAAUUGGCAAACGGCCCAUCCCAAAACCUGUGGCGACAAUGUGCAUGCAAGCGCGACGAAAGUGUCGUCCAUGAGCCUCGAGCGUUCUACCGCCUUAUCCCGGGUUCCCAGCCAAGUGGAGCAGGGUCCUCCACGAUCUCUUCAGUGGCCGGCGUUGGACGCGGCGAAUUCUUUACACGCCGCCGCUAUCCGAGCCACGAACACCGAGGCACGUGCGCCCGGCGCGGCCACAUGUCGAGCAGCACGCGAUCGAACGCUCUUUUCCGUCGUUCCCAAUCCGGCCUCAAAUUCAAUUUGGCGCCCCAUUUGGUAAUGGCUAUAUAACGUGACGAGCCACCCGAAGCAUUCGCCGCAUCUCGCGCCCCGGCAUCUGCUCCGCUUCCUCUCGGCUAGCCGGCCACCGUGUCGUAGUCUCGUGGAGCGACAGAGCAAGGCGGCGGCGGCGGCGGCGGCGAGGAUGCUGGAGAGCCAGGCGGUGAUCGGGGACACGGACAUGCUGCAGGCGAUGCAGCAGGACGCGCUGCGGCUGGCCGGGAAGGCGCUGGACGACUUCGAGGCCGUCGACUCCACCGAGAUCGCCCGGUUCAUCAAGAAGGUCGGUCGGUCGGCCGGUCACCGUUCGUUGUUGCAGCGAACACUGAACGCCUUUUCAGAAUGGUGACAUGUUUCUUUGGUUUCUGAUGCUGACAUGUUUUUGCAGGAGUUCGACCGGUCGUACGGGCCCGGAUGGCAGUGCAUCGUGGGCACCGACUUCGGGUCCUUCGUGACGCACCACUCCGGCUGCUUCAUCUACUUCGGCAUCGGCAACCUGGCCAUCCUGCUGUUCAAUGGCGGCGCCGGCGGCGCUCCUCAGGGUGGCACGGCGGAGCAGGCGCGGCUCACGGCGCUGAAGGCUGCUGUCGAGGCGUGAGGGAUCGGAAUGGCGUAGGGUAUGCAGGAUGGAUUGGUCGAAGUUAUUAUGGUUCGUGUCAUGGUGUGGCUGUGUUCCUGCCACGUCGUUUCGUGCUUGCUUGCGAGUGAGAGUGGCCAGACUCGAGUGUAGCGAUCAAACUUGGAGGACUUUAAUUGGGUCUUGUUUUUAAUUGGGUCUUGUUUAGUUUCCCAAAAUCCCAACUUUGGUACUAUGCAAAAAGAAGAUUCCCCGUCACAUUAAACUUGCGGUACAUGCAUGAAGUACUAAAUGUAGACAAAAUCAAAAACUAAUUGUACAGUUUUGUUGUGUAGUCAAUGUUUGGACAAUAAUUCAUAAAUACAAACGAAACGCUACAGCACAGUGAUUUUGAUCGUUCAAAAUCGAGCAACUGAACAUGCCCUUGGUAAAAAACAUUGUUCUGGCGGAAGCAGGUCACACCGAAAGUGCGGAGUGGAACUUCACAUGCAUUUUCAUCAUUCUCACGUUUCUUCAGAAUCUUCAGAAUCAUUGUUCUCGCAGAAGCUGUGGGCUAUGGGCUACGGAUCAGUCCUUCGCUAUCCCUUCCUUUUCGUCCGUCUAUCCGGAAUUUUUUUAUUUUCAUAUUUUUUUCGAUUUUGCACAAAUAUAUAGUCAAAUCAAAAAUUUGCAAAAUGGGCUUAUACCGCCGGCUGAAACUGUACCGCCAUUUGAAACGGUACCGCCGGUUGAAACGGCGGUAUGGGCCUGGCGCCUCAACGGUCACCCAGCGGAUAAGCUCUGCGCGGCAUCCGAGGAAACUGGCCCUUACCGCCGGUCAAACAGCGGGGCUCGCCCACCGUAUAAGCCGCACCCACGCCCCUCCCCUCCCCCGCACCAGACUGCGCCAGACAGAGAGAGAACGCCAGAGAAAGAGAGGAAAUGAAAGAAGGGAAGAAAAAAAAGAAGGAGAGGAGAGGAGGAGGAGGGAAGAAGGGGGAAGGAAAUUCUUCCGUCGUUUCGAGGUAAAUUUUUUUAAUCUUGUAGUUUAGAUAGUAUAGUGUAGUGACUAAAUCUAGAUUUAGAAAUAUUAGUGGAUCUGAGAUUUAGAAAUAGCUAGUGAAUCUAAGACUUAGAAACAUUUAGCCGAAUUUAGAUAUAGUAAAAUGUAGCUUAGUUGGUUCAAUAAAUUUAGCUUAAACAGUAAAAUAGAUUUAGCUUCGGUGGUAUAGUAGAUUUAGCUUAGGUGGUAUAGUAGAUUUAGCUCAGGUAGUACAGUAGCUUUAUUUUAGAUCACAGUAAAUUUAAGAAAUAUUAGUGGAUCCGAGAUUUAGAAAUAUCUAGUGGAUUUGAGAUUUAUUUGUUGUGUAUAUUAGUUCUGGUACAUGUCUACGGUAAAUUUAGUUAGUAAGUUUGGUUUAGUGUUACAUAGUUAUUUGUUUAUUGAAUUGAAGUCGUCAUUGCAGUUAACUGACAUCAUUGUAGUCGUCAUUGUGGUACACUAAGCUUGGUUUAGUGUUACGUCGUUGUCUGGUCCCCUCUCUGUUUGGGCUGUUGCAGCGCCGGUUAUAUAGCGUGAACUCCCGCCGGUUCAUCCGGCGGUAAGGGUCCUUCCACCGUUUCAACCGGCGGGGGUUCCUCGAUCCGCGCGCACACUGCUUCGGCGGCAGCACUUAGGUGGUGAGGGCCUUACUACCAUUUCAACCGGCGGUAGGGCUCUCCCACCUGCUGAAACGGUGUCAGGGACCGGUGUAGGGGGUGUCAGGCCGUACCGCCGUUUCAGCCGGCCGUAUAAACCCAUUUUUGCAAAUUUUUUAUUCCACUAUAGAUUUUUGUAAAAUCGAAAAAAAUAUAAAAAUAAAAAAAUAUCUCCUCUCCGAGCAAAGCACAUGGGCCAAAACCUGACCUGGGAGACAACAGGAGAGAGAGAGAGAGACUUGUACAAGCGUUGGGCCCUGUCUCUGAACCAUAGGCCCAUGAACACACUGCUCUUUCCGUUCCAACUAGCCAGAAUGCCAGAUCACCUAACACCCUAUCAAGGGGUAAGCUUGCUACCUCAGUGACACGACCCGAUCUCACUUUUCUUCAACACUUUUUGCACACAUCGUUAUCACGUUUACAAAUCAUUUACUUGUCAAAAAUGCAAGAUGUCGUGCACGUAGACACUAGCGGAGUUAGGUGUAAACAAGACGUGUAGGGGUCCCUGUCCUGUUCCCACGAAAAUUAUGUCUUGAAAUGCUGCAAGAACAAUUGUAUCUGAAUACCUAAACAAACAAUUGUAUCUGAACCGGCUGCCGUCCAAAUCAUGUUUAUGGAAUGGGAGCAGUCUGUUCACGUGGCCCAUGACAGGGAGACAGGGAGAGUGCCUGAAUAACUAUCUGUCGCAUAUACGUGGGUCCUACUUGUCAGCGCCAUAGCCUCCUCUUCCUCUACCUUCGCCCGCUGCCGGUUCUCCUUUCCCUUCUUCCUCUUCCUCCACCGGCCUUAGAAAAGGGGUGGGAGAUCGUAGGUAGACCUUGACGGCAGAGGCAGGUUGUGAGGCGGCGCGGCGCGGUGACGGGUGGAUAGCCGGUAGGCUAGGGAUUGGCCGGGGCGAAGGUUGGAGGUGAGCUUCUCGGCGGAGCCGGAUUAGGGUGACGGAGGGUGGCGGCGGCAGAUGCGGUGGCUAGAGUUGCCGCAGACGGUGGAGGACAACAGCACGGGGGCGAGCGGAGGAGAGAGAGGGGCCGAGGAGAGAAGGCAGCGGGUUCGGCGGCGAGCCGCCGGAGCCAGGGAGGAAGGUGGUGCAGGGGCUGUUACUGAAAAUGUCGCCUUGAGUGACACGUAGCACCGCCCCAGUUAGGUUGCGACAAACGAUUUGAUGCCUGAACAACGUGCAGUCUGACGAAGCGCUGGAGACCAACAGAUUCGAGCAUUACAGCGAUAAGCAAGGUAUAAAUUUAGGUAACAGCAAAUCUAAAUAGUCCAGCAGGAAAUCCCAGGCAGCAGCACCUAAAACUUGCGACGAGAAAUGGACAGGCUGAGACGAUAUUCAGUCAGUGUGCACUGGCGCGUCACAUCACAUCAGCAUUGGCAUUGUUCUUGUGCUCUGAAUCUGAACUGAUUCGGCGAACCAACUUUAACCAACCAAGCCAACCACCAAACAGGCUACUGAUGCGAUCUAGGAAUCCAGAUCCAAACAGCAUUGCCAAGGCACUCGACCAUCCGCAACAAAAGCUUGGCGAUUCGAGCACAGUCCAGCCACUGAUGGCGUACACGCGUGAUGCAGCAGCACAGCGCGUACCAGUGGAGCAUAAUGGCCCAGCAGUUGCAACCUUGGCCACAAGGAAGAUGAAGAUGCCUGAGAAUCUUGCAAUGCCCAUCGAUACCACUCAGAAGUCACAGCAGCUCAUGAUUCUCAAUCUUUUGCGGUGAAUUUAAAAAAAGACCGGAACAACUGUAGGCUCUGAAUAAGUUAUCAUCAUCAUCAUGAUCUCAAAUAAGCAAAGCAAUCCGUUUGAGAAAAAAGGGAAAGCAGCAAAGCUUCUCACUCUCAGUAUCUCCUCAGCAUCCUAUAUGUACAUUGCGGCAAGCCAUCUAGAUAAACGCACUCAAGAACUCCAAAUCCACACGCCCGAUCAGCAAAAGUUUUGUUAAAAAAGCCCGUGAAACCAAGAAUUAAUCCCCAAGUAGAAAAAAGGACGUGGCGAAACGUGUGUGUGUCGCGUCCGGGGCAGUCGAUUCUGUCACCGGCACCGGGAGAUGUCGAUCUCGAUGAGGCUGUCCUCCUCCAGCAAGAUCUCGAUCAUCCCGUCCUCCCCCUCGCCCCCACCGCCGAUGACGCCGUCGUCGUCGCUGUCGCCGCCGACGCUGUCCGAGUCGGAGUCGGAGUCGAGGUCGGAAUCGGAGGCCCAGGACAGGCCCAUCUCCUCCGGCCGCCCCCACUCCGCCUCGAACUCCUCGUGGAUCACCUCCAGGGCGCGCCCCUUGGCCACCCACGACGCGAACUCGAGGGCCUCCGCCGGGAACACGAUCUCCCGCUCCGGCGGCGGCGGAGAAGGAGGUGGGGGAGGCGGCUGGAGAGGCGGGUGCGCGGCCUCGUGAAGCUGCUGCUGAGGCAGCUUCUCCUCCGGCUGCGUCGACGUAGGAGGAGGGUUGACGGGAGCGGGGGACGCCGGCGGCGCGGAGCCGAGGCGGAGGAGGGAGAGGAGGAGGAGCAGGGAGGAUAGCGAGGCGGGGGAGAGCACGAACAGCAGCAGCGGCCGGGGGAGGUAGAGCACGGCGAGGAGGGAUGCCGCGGCGGCGGCGGCGAGGAGCGGGUGGUGGUGGUGGGGCUGCCGCCGGUCGCCGCCGGCGGGGACCUCUUGCGCCGGCGGCGGCGGGGAAGGUGAGGUGGAGGGGGCGGAAGUGGCCAUUUAUGGCGGGAGGAGUGGAGCGGUUAAAGCGCCGGCACCCCGCCAAGCGCGGCGGUUUUUAUAUAGAAGGGGAAGCGGACAAGCAGAGGAGAUUUGCCGCAAAGCUCCGGCACGGUUUGGCAGAAGAGGGGAGAGGGAGGCAGAUGGAGUGAGUGACCGCGUCGAUGAACUACUGCUACGGCUUGGCAGCUCUUGCAAGUACACGCCAACGGGGGAGAGGACAGUCGGGUAGAAAGUCCAGGGCUCAGAACGUGAACGGCCAAACCGUGCCGCGUUAAAACUGGGAUGACUUUUAAGUGCUACUGCUUGGACAUCGGUAUUUUCUUUGGGUGAUUUUUCGAGCUGUAUAGAACAGCGUACAUUUACGAUUUUACGGUACGCGAAGAAGUGGUAUCGCUUAUUUAGGAAAUAACCAAUUGAAUGGUGUUAUUCCUCUGAUCACGUAUUUAAGCCCACCCAUGUUGAAGUCAAAAGUUCUUUUUAAUUAUGACUAUUAAUAUAUAAAGCGACUAGAAUUAAAUCAUAUUUGACUUGUAACCCUAGACCGUCAGCGUAUAUAAAGCGACCAGGGACACCCCCGAGGGUAACUCCCCUCAACCCAACAAACGUUAACUCUUUGCACCUGCGAUUAGCAAUAUAAUUCAUCAGAACACAGGACAUAGCGUAUUGCUCUUCGGAGGCUCGAACCUGUCUAAACCUUGCGUCCCUAUGUUACCAUUCGAGUUCUUGAUCUUACAAUCUUGCUCAUCUACAAAUCUACCACCUGAAUAACCUCUAGUGGAUUGCCGAUUAGGUUUAGACAAUUAGGUUCACUAACCAAAAAGUACUUUCAUAUAUGCAUUACUCCUUCCAUUUAGGACGUUCUAAUAUUAUUGAUAUCGCUAAAAGUGUUAGAUUGGAGAUGGUAACUUGAUAUCUCGAAGUGUUACUCCUUCCAUAGCUCGAAGUGUUUUAUGGAUUUGAUGUACAAUUCCUAGUUCCAUGGCCAAACAAGUUUUGAUACUUCGAAUUAGUACGGUUGUGGCACAGAUGGUACGAGUUUUACACCGUGAUGGUCUGAUUCUAAUUGUUACAAAAGCUAUGAUAAAAUUUUGGAACCGUAAUUGGCACAAUGGCACAAAUACGUUUCCUUUUUUGAAGGAAAUGGCGGGUGCAAUGCCAUGUCAUUUAAGUAAAAUUAGCAUAAAUGCCCGUGCAUUGCUACGGUUUCUUACCAACUUCCAAGUUGUCAUCCGCUAGCACCUAGUUCGCUUUCUUCACUUUCUAAUCUGGUUUAGAAUGUUUCAUAAUAUUUGUAUACAUCUCUGAUAAUAAUAAACGGACAACUCCUUUGAAUUCUGCAUGGCCUAUUUGAACGGUAGAAUCUCAAUUACAUAUGUAAUGUGUCCUACAUCUAGUUCAAACAUGCAUUAAAACUUCUGAUAAGAUUCAGUACUAAUGCAACUCAUGUCUUAGUUAUUAUGAACAUAAGAGAUUAUCCACAAAACUUUCAAGCUAUAAAAUGAAAAAAAUUAUAAGGCUAAACUAAAUGCUCAGUCCUUGAUUAUAAUAUACUCAACAAUUCAUGCCUGGUCCUGAUAGCCUGAUAUCCUGUCUAGUUGCUCCAAGAAACAUGAGCAAUCAACAUUAUCCUUCAGCAAUUUGCUCCUCAUAAUACAGUCAACAAUGACCAAAUGUUCUACAGACUCAGCCAAAUCAGCGUUGGAGGAUUCGACAUUUCUUCCCAGUCUUUUUUGCGGGACCCACAUCAGGCUGGCAAUCCAUGGCAACCACCGGCCAGCACCUUCCUGCCGCUAAACCCCUAGCAUCGCAUGGCCGCCGCACGACGGGGCGGGAAGAGGAGGGGCCGCCGCCCCUCAAGCUCACCGUGGCCAUGCCGCAACGACUUCGUCCAACCUCCCAACGCUGCUCCUCGAGCUCACCGUUGCCGUGGUGCCGCCCGCCUGAACCUUGUCCCCGACCUCUGCCGCCCCUCAAGCUCCCACUACGGCCCGUGCGUCUACAGUGCUGCCGUCAGCACGAGCUUCCCGCUGCAGCCCGCGCGUUUUGGUGCCGCGGCUCGCAGUCGUCACCGCUGGUGUUGGCCAUGGUGAACAUGACCGGGUUGACGGCAAAGAACAACACAAAUUGGGCUUCCUAAUGCCGAGCGUGAGCUCCCUGCAACCCAAACCGAGCUUCAAACACAAAGCUCGAACUCGUCGCUUCCCAAAUCGAUCUUUCGGAUGCCAAGCUUGAGCUUCCCGCUGCCUACGAGGAUGGACUAGAAGGGUGCGACUGCCGCCGCCCGCGGCGUCAGCGCGGGAAGAGGAAGGGGCAACCUCCCUUGACACUUGCACUCUACAGUCAUCGCGGCCAUGGCCUUGCGCCAUAGAUUUCUUGUAUCCCACGUCAGUAAGUUGAGGGAGGGGGAAUCGUCGCCAGUGCUUUUAGCCACCGUCACCUGCAGCGAUUUGCACCGGAAGCAAAGGUGUUGUCAGAAAGAGAAGGGGUAGGCUCGCCACCUGCUAGUUUUGCUUGGCUUGGGCUCACGAAGGGAGUGCGGGACGGAGAAAGAAAGAAGACGAUGAGAGAGAGAAAACGAAUUACGCCGGUUUAACUUCCAGAACUGCGGGUUUAUUAUGAAAAAAUUGAAGGAUUUUUUUGCAAAAUAACCACGACGGUUGAAAGAAACCGUACUUUAAUAUUAAGUAUAGAUAUAGAUAUAAGAAAAAUAAGUCUUGAAUAGAUUUGAUUACAUAAAUAAUAGUUAUAGUAGGAUUUUUUUUCUGUUUUUCUUGUGCCAUGUGUGCCCGUAGCAUUUCCGUCUCCACUGCCAAGAUCCAGGAAGACCUGUGCCGGUCAAACCGGCGUGGCCUUGUGCUGCGACCUCUUGGCAGCAGCGCAGUGAUGAAUGAUGAUGGCCGCCGCGCACACAGAACCGCAGGAAACGGCGCACCGGCACGGCUGGGCCGGUGGCUCUCCCUCGGUUCGGGCAGGCGAAACAAAGAAGUGGAAUACGGCGAUUCGAAACCAGACCAUCCGGGCAACCGGGGAGGCAGAGCCGCAGAGGCAAAGGCGGGCAAAAGCAGCGGCAUCCUCUGCUGCCUGCCGAUUGCCGGGGCGCCGAGACCAACAAAGCUGGCAAGCCAAAGCGGCAAAGCGUCCUCUGGCACGGCUCUCACUAGCGCAUGCGGCGUAGCAGCACGUAGUCACAGUGUCACAGUCGGAUACCUGCUCGCCGCCGGCAGGACGAGUUGCUGUCACCGCCACGUACCGCAAAACUCGCAAUCCUCUGCGCUGCCGUGCCACGGGAAAGCGCCCGGAGCAGUGGCAGGAUCGCUUGCACUCCAAGGCUUUGCCAGGAGGGACGCGGGGGACGGACGGCCUACAACGGAGGCAUGUUCUGAUCUUCGGGUUGGUUGCGCUGGGCUGGGGCAUGGUGCGGGGACUGUCCUGCCCGCGCCAGGUUACUUUUCCUCAACCGAUGCUUAGCUUCUUGGUUCUCGAAGAUGAGAGAUUUCCUGAACGGAGUUGGGGGGAUUCUUUGAGGAGUUUUUAGUUUCCGAAGCCCGGAUCGGAGAAAACGAAAUUCGAGAGAUCCUACGUUGUACUAGUCGUACCUGGUCCUAGGUUUCUGCCCUUCUGUCGUACACGUCCCUAGGCCAAAGUUGCAGUGCCAUACGAUGCGAUGCCGGAGCCCCAGAGAUCUGAGUUCUGAGUUCUGAGCGAAUGUCUCGGUAUGAUGUACUACAGUACUAGGAGGUACUCCGUAGGAGCAAAGCAGCCGGUACGUCGCUCUCGUGCAAGAAGGAACAGGCGGCUAGCACUGUGUGAUGUUGAUGGCGAUCGGGAUCCAAACAAACUGAAGCCGUCGCGUGUACUGCGUAGUGACGUUACCAGAUCACCACACUAUAUGAAGUACGAGCUCAUGAUCUGCCGACAUUUCUAGCUGGGACUCGCUGAACAACCACGGAGGGCGCACCGCGUAGUCCCAAGUCCCAACCCGGAACCUCCCAAGCAGCCCCCUGCAUAUGAAUGCGCAUGUUCAUACUUGCUACUGAUAAAAUUUUACUUCUGCAGCGACCACACAAGCUGCUGCCCGGCUGCCCCCCGUGAAAAAAACGUGACCCAUACAAAAUUGGGGGGUCCAACUCGCAAAAUCUAACCAACACGAGUGGCUUUUCAACGUUAUGAUAUGAUAAUCUUCAACAGUUCAACGUGCAAUCGGUGACGCCUUUUGCGUCCAAGAAAGGAGGAAUCUGGCUUAUUUUUUAAAAGAAAAAAAAAUUCUGCGGGCAUGGUUGGAGUCCGAUUGUCCAAAGAUAUGAACACGCUUUUGCAGGACGUCCUGCACCUAGAGAUUGCAAUCUGUCCCUUGUUCAUUUGAUGAUGCCGGUUGCCGGGGGCAGGGGAUUUCCCAUCCGCACGUGAACUGAUGGGCGAGGGCGCUAGGCUUCGGUGCGUCCGGGUCAAAAAGGUGCCAAGGGGGAAGCACAGCCCCUCCGUAACUGAUGAAGAGUACUGCGACGAUCCACUGUAAAAACUCCACUUUGAUUCAGUACCAAGUUAACCGGCCAACGGUGAGGUUGGAGUAGAAUAGUACUGAGCGUGAAGGUUAACCGGCCAACGGCAAAGAACGAGCCGUAGGUACGGGAAGUUGCUGAUGGAGUAGAGUACUUGCUAGAGCAACUGUAACUGAAGCUCGUCGAUCGAUCAAGUUGCUGAUGAAAAAGUGUACAGCCAAGGAUGCUGGAACAUUGCAUCUCGCAUGCAUGAGCAGCUAGGUUUCUCCAGCCAAGUACUACAGCAAACAAGUGUGAUGAAUCAGAAAUGAUUUCGGCAGCUCAACUUGCAGGUUUAAAUGAUUUCUAGUGACAGGCAGGCCAUGAAUCAGAAAAGACCGUAAAAUGCAGAACGAGUCUGAUGCUUCAACAGUAUGCCAGCGUUAAAAGUGUGGAACACGUGAAGGUUUACUCUAUCUGCAGUUCCGCACAGGCCAAAUACUCCGGCUGACCGGCAGCACCUGCCAUGUUUUGUUGUUUAUGAUGAAGAGUUUUGAGCCUUGCUUAGUUGCCAAAAUUGGGAGUGCCAAAAUUACUGUGACGGCACUGUAGCACACUGUAGCGUUUCGUUUGUAUUUGUGAAUUAUUGUCCAAACAUUGACUAAUUAGGCUCAAAAGAUUCAUCUCGCAAAGUACAACAAAACUGUGCAAUUAGUUUUUAAUUUCAUCUACAUUUAGUACUCCAUGCAUGUACCGCAAGUUUGAUAUGAUGUGGAAUCUUCUUUUUGCAUAGUGGCAAAGUUGGGAGUUAGGGGUGAAGUAAACAAGGGCUUGAACGCCAAACAAAUAUUUAUGACAAAAGCUCGACAGCCCCCAAGAAAAAAAGGGAGAUACUCAUACUACUGUAGUACUCAGCGUGAGCUCGUCAGUGACGGAAAAGAGAGACAGGGAGAGACCCGGCCGGGAUGGGACCGCGCAGGUGUUGGACCGCCGGGCGUUCUGCGAUCAACCGACGCCGGCUGCCGCGCUGCUGGCUUACUUUUUUGGCGCGCCAGCCACCGGCACCGUGGCCCGAUCCGGCCGGCGGGCCAAUAAUUCGUUGGUUCGGCGCGACGGCCGUCGUCAGGGAUCGACCACCCCCGGCCGGGUCCCCUCCGCCCACUACACGUGCCGCGGUGCCGGCCCGCGGCGACCAGUGCCGCUGCCGGCUGCUCCACGGCUGGCAGCCACGGAGGCGCGGAAGCUGGCACAGCUGCGUGAGGCGGCGCGCGUCCUGUCGCCGGCGUAAACGCGUGGGACGGCCAGGCCAAGCCUCUUGUGUCUUUCUGGGGCGGCUGCACCUGCCCUGCCGGUGAAGUGCUGUAGCAAUUGCGCGGCCAUUGCCGUGGUGGCACCGCUAGUAAAAGCGCCGUGCUCCACGCUUGGGUCCGGGCGGCUCAAAUGAUUGCACGAGCAACUGCUGAUCGAUUACAUUUGCCAGUUGCCAGCGAUCUCGUUUCCUUCCGGGUUCCAGGAACCAUCAAUGUGGACUGUGGAAUGGCGUCAAGAAGGUGGCACUGUGCUGCCUACCAUAAUACCAUUGCAUCUGCACAGUGCACUUGCACCGGGUUGGGGAGCUGCACUGCUUUUACGGAUUAGAGUAUGUUUGGGGUCGUUUUACACCGGAUGGUGGCUGCGUACUAGCGACAGCAAAUGGGUGUAAAAGAAUCGCAAAUGUUCAAACCAUAAUAAAAUCACGCUAGCGAACUAGUAGCCUCAUUCAGAACUCUGGAUUUUGGCCCAUGCUGUAGUGGGCGAGAGCCGAAAGCCACACCACCAACUCCAACAAACCGAACGAAAGAAAAAUCUGGACAGGCAGACUGCAGCUCUGAAGAAACAACACCACUGAUGCCGCACGCAGUUCUUCAGAGUUCAGAGAUAGUGCAAUCUCUGUGCACGCAUGAUUCACACAAUUGCAACAGAUAACACCAUCCAUAUUGAAGCAAAUAAAAGAGUUUAUCUUCUCGUGCACACUAGCAUACGGAGAUCAUACACUUACAGCAUACACAAAAGAGAAGAGAGAUCUCACAUAACUUUUACAAGGUACUUCUACAAAAAAAAAAAAAGAUAAAAACAUCGUCUGUGUUCUUCAAUCACAGCAUUGAAGAAACUCUCUCUAUAUAUAAGCUAGUACUAGUAACUCAUAUGAGUAUACUACUUACCACUACCUAAAAGUUUCUCUAUGACGUGGGCUACAAAAAGCACUGAACUUUGCAGCCUGACACUACUAGAUACACUGGCAAGCUGAAGUGGAAACUGAAAGCCUGUGAUGUCAUAUAUUUACAUCUAGACCUCGGAGAGCAAGGUUUCGAAUGACGCCGACAGGUUGAUGGCGAUGCUAUCCAGGUUCUUGUUCCGGAGGCGCGACCUUGCAACCCUGCGUUGCAUGGGCGCCCCGGGGCCAUCUUCAUCCUCGCCGUCCUCGUCGCCUCUAAAACCGGCCUUCGAGGACGGCGUCGCAAACUUGAAAUGCAGCUCUCGAGCAACAACUGUCUGCAAAGAAGGAAUUGAACAAGGCGAUGUUAGCCAACAAAGUGGACAAGAAACACAAUUUGGAAUCUGGAAUUAGGUGGUAGGGGUUCGAAGUGCGUACUGCUUCGUUGACUGGUUUCGACACGAGGAAGAGCUGCCUCAGAUCACUGUGGUUCACCUUGCACAAGACUUUAAUCUGCAAAAUCAGAAUUAAAUUGGGAUAAGCAAGGCAUACAGGACUGAAUCAGAAUGCGAGUAAUAAAAGAAAACAGAUCAGUGACAAGCAAUUACCAGGACGUCUUGAGGCAGCGAUUCAAGAAGGCUGACGGCGUCAUCCAUGUGGAACCGGACGCUGCGCUGCUUGCGCAGGGUGCGGACCGGAGAGUGAGGGCUCCUGGGGCCCGGAGUCGGUGACACGGCCACCCUCUUCCUCCCCAGGAUUCUCGUGCUGCUCCUGCAGUUCGAGAAGCUCAAGCUCGUGGCAAGAGACCCCUUCUUCGCGUCGCCCUGUCCAAUUGCCAUUUCCCCCCUUUGCCUGUUAAACCCUACUGCCCUUGGUCUUUGGUGAUAAAAAGAUCACUUAUCCAAUCGGAGAUCUCGUAAGGAAGAAUAUCUGCACGGGAUUAUGGAGAUAAGAAUCAUCAAGCUGAAAGAAAAAGAUUGGCGAAUUUCCUUUUAAAGACGAACCGAUUCCCUUCCAAAAUUUUAGAUCGGAAAUCCCGCGGGAGCUCUCGUUCAGCGAAAAAUCCCCGAUUCAAAUUGUCCCCAGCCACAAACCAAAACUACAGUCGAACACCACUAAGGCUCAGGCAACAGACCAGCCGCAAAAGCGAAACAGGAGCCGUUGCAUCAAACGCAAUCUAGAAAAGGCAGCAUGAUCACAAACCAAUCAGCUCUAAUCCAAUCCCCCGGCAGCGAAAGCUAGAAAAAGGCAGCAAAUCACAAUCCAAUCACCUCUAAUCCAAUCCUCCUCAGCGCAAGGAUGACAUACCACGCGAAACAGAACAAAGAAACAGAGGGCAGGAACACACUGCCAGAGCAAAGCCCGACGAGGAAGAAGAGACAAACAAGCACCGAAUCGAAACAGGAAUUCGAGAUCGGAGGAAGAGAUUACCUCUAGUUUCGCUCUCAAUCUCAAACUCCUCCUGCUCCCGAUAAUCGCACAACAACCUGUGGAUGUCUUCCCCUACUGCUAAGCAACCUAACCUGCGGCGAAUGCUGGAGGACCAGACCUGCGAGGUAAAUUUGGAAACAGCUGACCUCCCCCUUCCCCGGUUUUAUAGGAGGCCCCUCUAUUUGCUCCUACCCGGGGGAACCUGCCUACGAAGUAGAGAAAUCCUCCGCGCGGGGGCCUUUCUAGAAAAUUACGGCAACCACCAGAAUCCAAUGCUGCUUCGUGCGCAAGAUCUUUUUCACCUCCCGCGCCCACCCGCUAAUCCACGCUGCGCCGCUCACUGACACACGGGACCGGAUAAACAGGGUCCUACACGUCGGUCGAUGUGGGUCGGUGGAGGCGGCCGUGGAGGAGCGCGUGAUUUACGGGGUUACUUUUUUGAAAUCGAGGCGGGUUGGCGCUCAACCCGCGUGUGGUGCGGAGCGCGUGGGAUCGGACGGCGCGGGCUGGUGGUGGACGGGCUACGUGGCGCGAUCGCGUGGGUCUGGAACUAGCCGUUGGGGGGCGGGGGGUGGUGGGACGUGGCCCGGCGGCGGUGGGAGUGGGGACGGGGUUGGUGACGUGGUGGCUGACCGGCCGAGAUUGGAUCGCCACGCGAAAAAGAAACGACGGCCACGCGAGUAAGUCGGUGGAGGUCGGUCCGUCGCCGCCCACCGUCUGGUUUCUCGCCGCGUGGAUGUCGUGUCAAGCCCCUUGUUCUCCGGCGGUUUAAAAAUGUAGUUUGGGGACAGCUAGCGAGCGCGGCGCGGUAAUCCGGUAACAAAACGGCGGCCAAAGCGCGGCGCGGCAGAUGGCGUUGGAUUGGGACGCAAGUAUCCUCUGUCCACUGCUCGCUCAGCUGAGAAAUUUUAAUGUAUUUAAUUAAAAAAAAUUACUGUGCGCAUCCAUUUGCUUAAUGAGGAACUUCGCUGCGCGCGUCGUCUAUCCACCUGUUCGAUUAAUUAACGAGAGGGCUGGUGCGUUUAAUUCGAUUACGGCUGCCUGUAUAUAAGAAAAAAACGAUAAUCACUUGGUUGGUGGAAAAAGAGUGCGUUCCGAAAGAAACUGUGCUUCUGGAGUGUGUUCACGUUUACCUAGUUUUGAGACGCUGGUGCGGUUGAGUCAAACGAUUUGACCACGUCCGCGUUAGUGCGUUACCAACACGAGUCAAAGACAGAGCGAGGACGGCGUCAAAGGGCAACUAGCCGGCCGGCCGGCCGAGUGGUGGGGGUGGGGCGCACCUCCCACCUUCUUCGUAGGGCGGCUCUGUUCCAGCUCUUCCUCAACCAAUCCCCGUUUGGUUUCGUCUUGCACGCAGCGACUGGACCACACGUAGCGCCUCCCGCAGUGUCGCUCUAGGGCCGGCGCUGCCGUUACGCGCAGCCCAAGAAGCGACCAUCGGCUAUUCGGCUGUGCACCCACCAAAAAAAAAAUCGGGACGGGUCCGUGGGACUGUGGGAGAGCGUGCGCGAAAAAUCGCGAAGGCCACAGGAAGCAGCCCGCGUGCGCCGGCGCUGCCGCUGCCGCUGUGCGGCGCCGCGCCACGCCUCCGCGCUGCGAGCGCAUCGGCAUCGGGGACGCGUCCCAGCUGCGAGGAGGGGAUGUCGGGGAGCACGUCGUCCGGUAGCGCCGCCGCUACUACCGUCUCGAUGGACGCGCGCCCCGCGCGCGGCCUGGAGCCCUCCUGCAUCACCCCGGAAACAGCUCACGUGUUCCAGCACGAGCCCAGCCCAGCCACGUCCAUAUUUUUUUUUCCCGUAGUUGACUAGGCCUUUGCAAUUCCCAUGGCCUGAAGGGCCGAGACGACGUCCGUGUAAGCCCAUGUUGGCGGAGGUGUUGAUGGGCCGUAUAUAUACACGUUGAAAUCAAAAUUUAUUGGCUGUCAAAUCAUCUCAUCUGAACAGCCUUUGUGCGCUUGCUUUGCUCUCGUUCUGCGUGCAUGCAUGUCGACCAAGGAAAUUUUCGCUUCCGACUGACUAGGACAGCUAGAGAACCAUGGAGGGUUGCAGGAUCUGGACGCAAAUCGUGCUAUCCUCUAUUUGUAGCGUCACUGUACACUGUACAGGACAGUCCCCGAAUUCUCGAGCGAAACGGCCAUGCAUGUGCCCCUGGUACAGCGCCGGUUGCCGCCACGGCAUCGUAUUAACACCGCUUCAGUUCUUUGCUUCGAUUUUUCCUGUCCGGGGCCGCCAGGCGUGCUGAGUCAGGAGAGCAACCACCGCGCGAGCCGAGCAAACGGACAAACGAGCACUCGGAAAGCGGCCCGGCGCCGGUCAGAAGCAGACGAUUCUGUGCAAUUCCCUCCGUCUCCAGGAGUCCAGGGUAGCUGGAUAGGCCGGAUUGGCGAGACACACGACGCGGUGGGCAGGGGUGUGUGUGUGUGCGCGCGCGCCCCCCUCGUCGAAGGCCCCGUACACCGGGAUCACCGGGGGCUGAUGCCGCUGGAUGGCGAUAAGACGAGCAGCCGGCGAUGUUUGCUUCGGGUUCGAGUCAUGGCCAUUGCCCAAUCAUACUGCGAUAGGGUGCACGUACACGCGCAGGUUGAUCUGAUAAGGUAAACAUAAGAGUUGAGACAGGAAUCCAGGAGAGAGACGCUGCGGUCCUUUCGACGGGUCCCGUCGAAACUACAGUCGACAGACAGAGGUAAGGUCAUCCACAACAGUCCUAGCUAAUUGCUAGUCAGCACUAAAUAGCUAGCAGUCCAUGCAACUAUCUAUAUAGUGCUAGCUAUUUGUUAUUUUUAGUACUUUCAUGCACAGAGAGAGAAUGGAUGUGCUAGCGAUUUGGCGCAUCGUCGCGCAUGCGAGCUGAGCAACAAGCAAGUCGCCGGCUCAAAUAUUUUUACAUAUUCUCUUUCCUUCACAUAAGAUACAUGCUAAACUGUACACUCAAAUAGCUAACUGACUCAGCACCAUUACGGACGCCCUAAGAGCACAAGGCCCGCUGCUAGCCACAGGAAGCAGCCUCUGGGCUCUGUGGUCUGCGGCGCAUGGUGCCAUGUCAGCCAUGAUCACAUUCCAGCCGCGGCCAAUGAUCCUCCCGCGAUUUUCUAAUGCCAAUUAUAGAGAUCAGGCCUCGGAGCGCCGUACCCGUACCCGCUGCUUGCCGAGCCGGGCCCCGCCCGGCCGCCGCGACUCACGUCCGCGUCAGCGUCAUCCGCCAACGCGGCUGCGGCCGGCGCUCGCGUGGGAUAUUCCUCGGCGCGUCGGCCCGGCGCGGAUGCAUCCACCACCCGAGCUGGCCCCCCGCCCCGGCGGCGCGCCGAAACAAGAGCUGAGCCGGUAGCUCGCGUGUAGCCAAUCGGCGGGCGCCUCUGGCUUCAGGGAAGGGGGAGGGAAGCAAGAAGGGAGGGACCGUGCAUGUUGGCUGAGUUGGAGCUGACGCGCGCCGGUUGAUCUCGUCUCGUGAUCGCGUCCGGGGGAUCCGACAGGAUCCACGGCGCGGGCAUACGGAUAGAUGCGGGUACGUGACAGGCGGCAGAAAACCGGCGAGGGACGGAGGCAGCGGCAGCCGCUGGUUGGCUAGCUAGGCUGGUGUGAUGCGGUCGUCGUGCCGUGCGCAUCUGCCAUUGGGAUCGAUCGAGGCUUCCACGAACCAAGAACGUAUCCUGCGGUACCCGCGCUCCAUGUGCGUGCACGGCGCGACGUUUCCUUCCUUUUUUUUUUUGCCCAACUACUUGCCGGUAGACAACUUAUACUUACAAUGAUCAAGCUAAGUAGCAGUGCAAUUUUUCACAACCACCGAUUCUACAAUGAUCAAACGUUAUGUAUUCUCGAUCGACCACCGAUUUAUAUAUACAACGAUCAACUAUAAGUAUUUCCUCCGUAUCAAAUUAUAGGUUAUUUUUUAUCUCUAAUUUCAUAGUAUUUAUUUUAUACACCUAGAUAUAUAUUAUAUCUGGAUACAUAAGUAAAAGUAAUGAAUCUAGAAAUAUUAAAAUGAUCUACAAUUUGCUGUGAUCAAGCAUAUAUACCGUGUGUGUUACCGUUGAUCAAAGUAUGUGCUACGUAGCUUUCGCAGUGUCGUCCCAAACUAGACGCAAGGAGCGCGACAAGUCCAAAAUCCAGCUAUUCCCCGCCACGCUUCCAUGGAUCUCCGUACCAAUUAUGCAACCUUUUUGGCCCCACAAGGUAGUACACGUCACCGCCAACGAUACGGAGCGCGACUGGUUUAGCUUGCAUGGACCCGUCCCAUUCCAUGUGCCGUGGUGCACUGUUGGCGGUCGUAGCGUGCAGUCCCAGAGGACACAGGCGAGCAUCCACCAGAAGCGCGUCGAGCGGUAAGUGAACGCUAGAUUGGCAGGUAUCAUGCGCUAGCUGUUAGUUGCUGCUGCUGCUGGAUAAUUCUGUAAAAAUUUUUACCUCAUGGAGUAAAGCUGGUCGAUUGACACCUAAAACUGACAGGCUGUUCUUCGUUCAGACGAGAUCUCGAAAGCUAUAGCUAGCCCAGCUAAAACACCCACCCUGAACUUGUGAACUUUCCGUUUUCAAACACACACACCUCUAAAACAACCGUGGAUGGAUUAGCUACCGCAACAAAACAAACGAGGGGUGUUUGAUUCUUUAGUCCAGACUAAAUUUAUGUCACAUCGAAUAUUCAGAUGUUAAUUAGGAAAAUUAAACGUGACCUAAUUAUAAAACUAAUUAAUGGAGGCUAAUUCACGAAACGAAUCUAUUAAGCCUAAUUAAUUCAUCAUUAGCACAUGUUUACGGUAGCACCAUAUUAUCAAAUCAUGAACUAAUUAGGUUUAAUAGAUUCGUCUCGCAAAUUAGUCUCCAUCUGUGCAAUUGGUUUUAUAAUUAAUCUACGUUUAAUACUCCUAAUUAGUAUCAAACAUUCGAUGUGAUAGAAAUUUUAGGAGAUCCUAGAAAACCAAACACCCCCUGAAAUAUCCUGGGCACACCGGCAGAGCUCUGUGAGUCCAGGCCAAUCGAUGAGUCGGCUAGGGGAAUUGCGAGACAAAGCGCACGCAGUUGAUGACCUGGCAAACCGGCACGUGCGCGGCACGCAAUAAAAAAGUCGCAUGAUUAGGCGGAUGAUCUGGCGAUAAGCAUAGAAUAAACAGAGCACUACUGCUAGCGGUCGUCAAUGUUGUUUGCUGGUGAUCACGCAAGUGGGAUUAUAAAAUCAGAGUAAAUUGAUCGCGGCGCUCAUAUUAGAGUAAAUCAGAGUAUGUAGGAAAACACCAGGAUCAUACUCUGAAUCAAAUGGGAGCUGGAUGGACUAGGACAAGUUAAUGCGUAAAGUUUUAAAAUAAAUCCUAAUUACUCUUAAAUAGAUGAUAUUUAUAUAGACGGCCAGUCAAACUUUACAUACCUUCUGAAGACGGAGCAUGAGUCUCGUGUACAUACCACUACUCUAACCUUCUUUUGAAUUCGAAACUUGGGCACAAAUUCAAAUUGAUAGGAACAGGGGGGACAUCAAUUAAGUUCUAUAUAUGCUGUUCUCAAACUUUUUAUAUAUCUUAACGACUAAUGUCAUGCACGCAACAGAUAUUUAAAAACUGUAAUAUGAAAAAUAAAUCGGACGGUUUUCUCGUAGUUAUACUCUUUCACAACUAUAAUUGACAAAGAUGAGUGUUCUUAUGCUUGUAAUUUGUCAGAACGGCUACUAGGUCCGGGGGGCGCAUGUGCUUGUGGUGGUGCGCCGCAAUCUUCAGUUACCAGGACGCGGACCCAUAAAUGAUAAAAACCACUCCAGUGAUCCAGGGGGUUGUGUCCAGGCUGCAGCAACGUACAGACAGAACUGGCAACAGAAGGCGAAAUAGCACAUCCGACCCUGCCAGGUAGGAAAAUCACAGGCCAACACCCCUGAAGAGGCAAGCUGCGACGGCGCUUCCCAUAUAAAUACCCGCCUCCGGCAUCGUCUCCAACCCGCAACUCACGAGCAGCAAAAGAGCACAGGCAAAACCACGCAUACACACACUGCCGUGGCAAUGGCCGCCGACACGGACACCACCGCCCCGCUCCUGACGAGCCACAAGCCGCCCAAGGCGCCCACCAUCGAUGACACCAUCGAGAAUUACAUGGGCACCACCGGCGUGAUGCAGCUGUUCAAGGCCAUCCUGCUGGCAUUCGCCUGGGCCUUCGACGCGCAGCAGGUGUUCAUCUCCGUGUUCACGGACGCCGAACCGCAGUGGCACUGCACCGGAGCCUCGCCGUCCUGCUCGCCGGCGGCGCCCCCGGCCUCGCCGUGCUGGCUCCCGCCGGGCGCGUGGGCGUGGGACCGCCCCGCCGACUCGACGAUGGUCUCGGAGUGGGCGCUCAAGUGCGCCGGCCCGGCGCUCGUGUCGCUCCCGGCGUCGUCCUUCUUCGCCGGCUGCCUGGCCGGCGGGUUCCUGCUCACCACGCUCGCGGACUCGCUCCUGGGGCGCCGGAAGAUGCUGCUCACGUCCCUCGUGUCCAUGUCCGUCGCCGGCGUGCUCACCGCGUUCGCGCCGAACGUGUGGGCGUACGCCGCGCUGCGGUUCGUGUCCGGGUUCGGCCGGUCCAUGGUGGGCACGUGCACGCUGGUCCUGUCCACGGAGCUCGUCGGCAAGCGGUGGCGCGACACGGUGAGCGUGGCCGGCUUCUUCUUCUUCACCGUCGGGUUCCUGUCGCUCCCGGCGCUCGGCUUCGCGUUCCGGGAGGCGUCGUGGCGGAACAUGUACCUGUGGACGUCCGUGCCGUCGCUCUGCUACUCCGUCCUGCUCUACUUCCUCGCCCAGGAGUCGCCGCGGUGGCUGCUGGUGCGCGGGCGUAAGCAGGACGCCAUGGACACGCUGCAGCAGAUCGCGUCGCUCAAUGGCAACAGCAUCACGUCCAGCUUCUCCAUGCUGCACGCGUGCACCAUGCGCGCGGACGGCGGGGACGCCGGCGGCGGCGCCGGUGGCGCGUUCGCCACGAUGCGGGCGUUCUGGGAGCGGCCGUGGGCGCUCCGGAGGCUGGCGGCGAUCAUGACGACCAGCUUCGGCGUCGGCAUGGUCUACUACGGCAUGCCGCUCAACGUCGGCAGCCUGGGAACCAACCUGUACCUGAGCGUCACGUACAACGCGAUGGCCGAGCUGCCGUCGGCCGUCCUGUCGCUGGCAUUCAUCGGCAAGGUCAACCGGCGGACCACGGUGAUCGCGCUCACCGCGGCGGCGGGCGCCUUCAGCCUCAUGUGCGUCGCCAUCCCGGAGGGCUCGGCGGCGCGGAUGGCGUCCGAGCUGCUCUCCUUCUUCGCGACCAUCACGGCGUUCAACCUCAUCCUGAUCUACUCCAUCGAGCUGUUCCCGACGUCCGUGCGCAACUCGGCGGUGGGGCUGGUGCGGCAGGCGCUGGUGCUCGGCGGCGUGGCGGCGCCCGUGCUCGUGGCGCUCGGCCGGGAGCGGAGCUUCUAUUCCUUCGGCGUGUUCGGGCUCUGCAUCGGGUGCUUCGGGCUCUUCGCCGCCUGCCUACCGGAGACGAAGGGCCGGAGCAUGUCGGACACCAUGGAGGAGGAGGAGCACAAGCAGGAGGCCGCCGCAGCCACGUCUUGCACCGGCGGCGCAACCGACAUUGCCACGAAGGAUAACAGCGACGUCGUGUAGUGUGACGACGCUCGUGUUCGUUUCACGACGCGGCAAUAAUUGUUGCUCUGAUGACGAUAUUUCGGCGGCGAGGAUAGCUAGAUCUGCUCUGCAGGUCAAGCACCAAGCUGUCACCCCUGCCCCCGUCCAAUCGUGUAAAGCUUGCCGCCAAGUUGCUUGCAUAUAAAUUCUGUUUCAAAAACUCGUCAAGUCCGCAAGUUGAAGUCUUACCAAAGUAGCGCCCCGGCCCACAUCAUCCUCUCAAGCAGAUCUCGAUCGAUGCCUAUCGGUAGAGCACAUUCAAAUUCUAUCAACAAAUAUAAAGUAUUCUAUCCACACUAGGAGAACCCAAAUUAAUUCUCUAACAAAUACUCCAUUUGAAAUUACUAGUCAUUCCAACUUUUUUGGAAAGUCAAAACGUCUGAUCAAAUUCAUGCAAUAAAGUACUAAUAUUUAUGAUAUCAGAUAAGUACAAUUAAUUUUUUCAUUAAAUAUAUUCUCAUCGUAUAUAUUUAUUCGGUGACAUAAAUCUUGGUGACCCUCUCUAUAAUUUUAUUCUUUCCAAAAAAAGUUAGAAUGAUUUAUAAUUUUGAACGGAGGGAGUAUAAGGUAAGAAAUCUCAUUAAUCGUCCAGCAAACAUAUCGCUUGACUUGCAAACUUAUCGCAAAUUAAUAGUACUCCAAACCUAUCUAGCAAUCGCUUGACUUGCACCAACCAAACCUAUCUAGCAGCUUUAAUGAGGGCUACACGCGUCUUCUAUCUGGCUUAAACUUUUCAUCCGUGAACGGAGAGAGUAGAUCGACAAAGUCAAUAUAAAACUUCCACAUGAAGUUGCAGCUUUUAUAGAAACUGUAAAAUUGACAUAAUCUUUUAUAGAAACUUCCACAUGGGACCCAGGCCUUAUUUGUCCUCUACCUUAACAUUCUCUAGGAGCAGCAUGGUUUGCUUAAGGAUUAGGCACCCUACUAAAACGACUCUGCCCCUGCCAUUUCCUAGGCUUCCUUGGUUGCGGCACUUUCGUUUUUCGUUGCUCACCUUGGCACUUUUCCUUCCUGCUGCACUUAUUCGACGCCGUUGAGCCCACGCCGCUACCUAUGCCUUCUCCCUUAACUCCGACGAGUUUCUUCUCUGCGACCGUACUGUAGUCCGAUCUGUAUUCCUCAUCUUUGGAGGCUCGUUGUCACCGCCGGAUCCAUUGCUACAUUAACCCAUGCAUCUCCGACAGGUUGCUUCUUUGCCUCUCAGAGAAUUUUUUUUUGAUAAAGUCCUCUCAGAGAAUGUUAGAGGUCUCCACAACACUUGAAUGUCUUUUUAUUUAGUUUUUCCAAUUUUCUUGAAGUGCCAUGCCAAAAAAAAAUCACGAGUGACCCAGCACGUUAGGUUCGUCAUGGGACAGUAGAAAGAGAAACACGAGUGCAAAAGGGUAGUAGACUUCAAGAUCUAGAGGCUCCCCUCAGGGCCGGGAGAGAUAAUAGGCUCCCCCCAGGGCCGGGAGACAGCAAAAGGGUGUGAAUCAAUGCAAGUUUGUCCAUCCUACGCGGCUUCGCUAGAUGGGUACGAUCGGAUGAGCCAAAUAAAGCCAGAACUAUUUCUCCCAUUAGGGCAUUAUAGUCAUUUUGCAUGCAUGGUUUGAAUUUAAGUAAAUCAGCAAGCUAAAUAGUAUACCCAGAUGGCGGCAGUAGUUAGGAUAUGAUAUUUAUGAACUAGGUGGCAGUUACUUAUGCAUUUCGAAAUGAACGACGACUUUCAAGCAGGCCCUGGAUCAAUUCAGACUUGGUUUUGUAUUCAAAUUAUUUGAACUUUUUUUUCCUUUUCUACAUAUACAGCCCCUUUUUCGUGGUUUCAUUUUGAACUAUCUUCAUGGAUUAUUAUAUUGUCACGCAGUCAAGACUUGUGGUUUGCACUUUUACCUUUUAUAUGGCCCCACCAGUUUUCCUCUUCCGAAUGAGCUUAAGAACCUCAUAUCUUUGGACCAGUGUCCACGCGGACCACAUCACGGAGAGUAAGAGACUGCUUGAGUCUGAGAGGUACACAACGGUUGAAGGGGGUGUCAUUGGUCUCUAAUGCUCUCAGCUGUCAUCUAGUAUACAUGGAGCUGUCCCCGCGUUAUUUUAUGCUGCGGCUGACUCAGUGGUGACCGGUGAUGCCAAAGAAGUCGGUCGGGAUCCCCAAUGCCAAAGGAAUCGGUCGAGAAGCACAUUUCAAUCUGUUAUGGAUCAGCACAACAGCUCGCAUGACGAUGCUGCUGGCCCAACAGUACAAUAGGAAUGCGUGAUUAGCAUUCUAGCUAGUGCUAACUAGCCUAUCAUGCUUUAGCAGGUGCCCGGAACAUGGUGCUCUGCUCAUACAUGAUGCUUGUGCCGUGUGGUGGCAUUUUGCCAAAGUUCACAAUCGCAUCCUUUCUCCUGUGUUGCCAUGGUACCAUGUGGGUGUACAGGUGCUUGUGCCAUGAGGCAUCCGUCCCUUGACUUUUUCGCAUUGCAUUCAGCGUAUUUCUUCAGGCUUGCUUGCAAAGAAAAUACCUCGUCAGGGUGGUUUAUUUUUGCGGUGACGGUGAUCAAAUAAAGUUGUGUCGUAGAGAUCGGAAAAACCAGAAACAAGUACGAAAGGACAGAGGAGUUAGAUCAUCUUUUGGGCAAGAUGUACCCAAGAGGAAGCCGUCACAAGCCUACACCGCUUGUUUGGAGGAUAGAGCAUGUGAGGUUGUGGCCGUCGCUAUGCAAGAGAGAAGAAUGAAGAAUCGCCUACGUUUGUUGUCAUCAUUAGAAUUUUCAUAGCAAAUAGCCUCGUAUAUGGAAUAUAGCACUAAAGCUUAUUAGCGUUUAUUUCACAAGAAAUGACAUUUUUCUUCAAUCUCCUUUUUUCCGGCAAUAUCUAAAAUCUUAGAUGGUAUAGCAUCGGACGACUUAUAAUACAACGGCAUGCAAACCAUGGAUACUAGUAGACUAGCUGUCUAGCUAGGCAGGAACUUUGGACUCGGUUGUACUACCGACAUAUAUGCAUGACGAGCAUCAAGGUACCACAGCAGAUCUGGGAGUACAAUCAUGCACGCAUAAUAUCUCGAUGACGUGUGAUUGUGUGAAUGAUUAAACAAACCAUGAAGUGACAAAAACUGGUAGCCGCUUUUUGGGUCAGGGAUGACACAGCCUUCCAGAUCGACUGGGACCCUCCGCUGCCCUCUAUUCUGUCGCAUUGUCCGGACUGACCCUGUCUUGCGAACCCUGGCGUCGUCUGCCAUCCCAUCAAACGCACUACUGCCCUGUACAACUAUACGACCUGCACGAUCAGGUUUGGGCGUCCUGCGUCGCAACUUUUGUUCAGAAGCGUCGCUUAGCACACGGUCUCGCCGUCGCGGACGGUGCUGCCGGUCGGGCCGGGGCGCCAUUGUCAGCGGCGCGCGCACUUCGUUGCUCGGUCGAUCACGCGCCUGCAGUUUUGAUCGGUUCCAAGAGUUUUUCUUCUGAAGUCAAGAGUCGCUUUAUUCCACCACAAGUUAGCUUGAUCGCGAACUACCAAGCUAGCUAGUUACAGUGAUCAUGAGCACAAAAUUACAAGAGCAUGGAGCUCACCAAAUAUCAAACGAGGAAAAAAAAACAGGUAUAGAGCAGGUCCCAGACUUCUCUGAAGAAGAUUACUCCUGCUGGGCCUCGAUCAAGCCUGUUGGAUUUCAGUGCAUCCACCAGCGCAUUUGGGGAGGUUCCCAGAAACUCAGAGAGGGCGAUGUACAUGGGCCUGGGUUGAGUCAGCUUUCAGAUUACUCCAGUUGUGUUGCUCAUGGCUUGGGUUCCGAGCCAGGCAGCCAGCGUUCUUCGCCUCCCCGUUUGCGACGUUGUGUUCAACGGCGGCCCCCUACACGGGACCCACUUCACAGUAAAAAAAAAACUGAACUCCCAGCGACCCUCGCGCGAACAGAAGGAAAAAUUCGCACGGUGCGAGCCGCGCCACUGCCGGCCGGUGCCAUGGACGUUGCGGCGUCGACGUGGAGGGCUGCGCAAGUCCGGCGAGAGGUGAAAGGCGGAGCACAUUGGGGGAGAGCGCACCGCACCGAGCUGCGGCCGCCUCAUCGGAGCCGCCCUAAGGAUAGCCUUCCGCGCCGAGCCGUUGGAGCCGUCCUGGAUAUGACCUCCCACGCCAAGUCGCAGCUCCGCCUCGUCGGCCUUCAGGCGAGCAUCUGCCUCGACCUGUACAUCGAUCAUGUCAUGUGAUCAGCAACAGCCGAAGGUAAAUUAUCCGGAUCAUAAGAAAUUAAAAGUACAACAGCAGGAGCAUUCUUACCUCGGAACCUUCCCUUCGUAAAUUUGGAAUAAGGACAAUACCUCGCACAAGCAUCGCUUUCAGGAUUAGGAUUAUGGUAGUGAAAAAAAAAGGUGGAUGUAUUUUCUUUAACCAAUCGUUACUGUCUUAUCAAACGUCAUUUUCAAAUUGUUUGCACUGUUGUGUUCCUUAUAAUGAGAUAUACGAAAUAAGAUCCACAUUCUGUAUAACAACUCAUGUAUGAAACUAUACACACUAAGAGAUAAUUUUUAUAGAUACAUUGUAAUAGCUUAUGUGUAAGCAAUGUAUCAAGCUUAUAUAGAGAUUAUUAUAUAGCAACUUAUAUUAUUUCUACUUGUCGAGUAAUAAAUUUAUGUACAGAUAAAUGUACAAAGGACUAUAACAACUUGUUUGCAAGCAAUAUAGCACCUUAUGCAGUAUGUAUGGUAUUAACUUAUAUAAUGACGAUGUGGCAACUUACAUAGACUCUUCAGAUAACUAAGCAACAUGAGUGUAAAAUCUGUUUUUAGCAAUUUAUGUACAUAAUUUGUUAAGAGGUUUACACAUAAGUCGCUAUAUACUUAUCCAUAGGUAAAUAAUAUACAUUCGAUAUAAAUUACAAGUACAUAAAAAAUACUCCAAAACAUAUGCAUCAUGAGUCUUAUUUUGUAAAUUUUACUAUAAGAAAUGUACCGUGAAGACGGAAUUGAAAAUAGUCACUCUAUUAAAGAGUUAUCGCAAGAGACGAAACAAAAAUAAAAA